AUUAAUGUCAAACAAAUAAAAUCUUCUCUUUCUCUCUAGAACUCCUGGAAACCCUGAUCAAAGCUCCAAUGACAUCAUCUCAAGGAGACAUGGAUCUUGAGGAGUGGGAGUUACUCCCAAAAAGCUAUUUCAAGGAUCUUGAUCAUGAUGAGGAUCAUCAAGAAGCCAUGAUACUGGAUUGCUUCCUCUCCCCAUCUACUCAAGAUCCUCUCCAUAAGAUAGAGUCUCCUCCUAUAUCCAGAGUUGUCCCCACAAAGCUCCUCCAAGUCCCCAUAGCUUGGGAACCCGUGUUGGAUCACGAGAAUAAGAAGAUGCCCGGUCUUGACCCGGAUCCAACACAGACCCUUUUGAUGGAGUCUGUCCCGUCACCAAGAGUAUCCUUCAAGAAAACGAAGGAAACUGAAUUUGCCGACAUGAAAAUUGACCCACCAGCGAGGAUCACGAGUCCUGUGCCUUUGAUAGAUGCUGCGAAGCCCUCUGAUUGCGAAGGAAGCGCUGACUUGCGAGUUAAGAAAGAAAAUGAUGAUGUGACGAGUGAACAUGGUGGUGAGAAACUGAACUUAUGGAAGAUUGGUCUUAAUGGGAUCGGAGCUGUUUGCUCUUUUGGCGUUGCAGCAGCUGCUGCUACAGUAUGUGUCUUGUUCCUCGGACACAACAACAUCAAAGUUUGUAAAAACAAGAACCAUAAGCUUAGGUUCCAGAUUUACUCCGAUGAUCAUAAGGUAACUUGAACAUUUUAUGAAAAUUAUAUUAAUUAAUUAAUUAAAUGGAGUUUUGUAUAUUAAUAAGGUAACUCCACAAGCUUAGGUUCCAGAUAUGAUGUAUCUUGAUUAAUUAUUAGAGAUGUGAAAGCUAAGGGAGUGGUAGAUUUGGAUAAAACCUAUAAUUAUUUUUGUGAUGUUAGUGAUAUAUGAGGAUUAUAGUUGGUAAUUGUCUGCUGGUUAUAAUUGGGUAAUUGUUGUUCUAGAAACUUUGAUUAGAUUAGAUGAUUGUUAACUUUUUGAUUAAACUAUAGAAAUAGGUUUUGGAUAUUUUAAAUCCAAGUAAAUGAAUAUUGAUAAGGUGAAGCUUACGUGUUUCAGUGAACAAUUAUCUGUAGUUGAAAAAGACAGAUUCUUCUUUGUAGCUUUAUACGUUUCGUAAUCCGAUUGUUUCUAACUUUAUAGCUUGUGCCAAACGUCAAAGUUUACUUUUAAGAAGAAAAAUUCUUCGUUUAUUAAAUGCUAACAACAGACCCAAAUACCUAUAACACGUAUCAAACUUUUUGAUUAAAAAUGUGUUACUUAUUUAAUGGUGGUUGUAGAGGAUGAAUGAAGCUGUGAAUCAAGCAACAAAGGUUAAUGAAGCAAUCUUUGCAAUGAAAGGUGUUCCUGUCGUAAGAGCUCAAAUAUCUUUUGGAGGUUACUACGAUGGACUUUGAAUCCCAACCGUUCAUAAUUCUCUUUCGAAUCAAGGGAUGAGAUCGAGUCUACCCUCAUCUACCAGCUUCAUAAGUUCAACGUGCAUGCAUGGUCAUUGUCAAUACAUUUUGUAAAUUUUGUUAAAAUCCAAUCUGUUGAUAGAUCAUUGUAAAAUUUCAUGUAAUAUUUUAAUCGUUGUGAAAUAAUUUAAAUAUCUUUUGUGAUUUGUUUGAUUUAGUAUUUCGAUUCACGUAGUUUUUUUUUUUUUUUCUCUCCAAAACGAAAGCAUUUCAUGACUAGAUGAGAAAGUUUGCUAUUCUAUAUGCCAUAGUAGGGCUGUGAGUUUGAACUUAACAUAACCAAAAUUUCCGGUUAGUUCAGUUUGAUUUGGUAGUUUUUUUUUUUAAAUUCGGAGUUCGGUUACCAAAUUAACCAAAUUUUAAACCGAAUUUCAACAAAAUUAAACCAAAAUAUAACUGAAAUCAAAAAAUUUGGUCGAAUUUAAAAUAAAACCGAACUAACUGAAUAAUAGCGAAUCGAACCAAAUUUUAUUUUGGGUUAGUUAAGAUUUAUAUUGAAUUGAACUUAUCAAAAACUAAAUAUCCGAACCGAAUUUACCUAACGCCGCAGGCCUAGCCAUAUGGUGUGCCAGACGGGUUAAAAGUUAAAACUUUGUGUUUAGAAAAUUCCGAAAAAUUGAAGGGUCGUUCUCAAGGAGGCCCAACCACACCCCCUUGUUAGGUCCAUUACCAAUCCUUACAACAGCACAAUAACUUAAAAAAGAAAAAUAGUGAGCAGUGAAAAAAAUUCAUUACCAUUUGCCCACUGGUCGGGAAAAAGGACAGAAAAGUAAAAUUUUAACUGGUCUAAAAAUCGUACCGUCGAUUUUUAUAAUCGAACGGUUCACAAAGACCGCUCCAUUGACUGCCAUAGAGAUGAAAUAUAAGACAGAGAUGCCCUAAGCCGUGAAGUCACAGAGAGAGAGAGACACACACAAAGGUUUCGCCAGACUCGCCGGAGAAAUUAGCGACUACGGUGGUCAGAAUCUCCAGUCCCUUCUUCGCCGGAAAAAUCAUUGAUCUCUGUGAGUAAAUUGCAUCUUCUCAGUCUAAAUUAAUUUCUCUUUUGAAUUUCCAGUUCUUGAAUAAGUUUUAAAAAUCCUCUCUUUAUUACACUAAUAAACUCUGUUUCGUUUCAGACAAAUUCUUCAGGUGAGACAAAUCGGAGAAGAAGCUCCAAAAAUGUCGUCGUUAGAACAAGAAAUGUUCUUACAGUGGGGAAACAAGAAGAGAAUGAGACGCCUAAGAGCCUCCGCCAACAAGGACAACAAACACAUCUCGCAACGCCAAUCUAACUCUUCAUCUCACGAGACCUUCCUCUUCCACUCCUCGAGAUUCUCCAGGUACACAAAGGUUUCAUCUUUUUCCCUUAAUCGAAGCCAAGACUCAAUUUUUUUUAUUUCUUUGUUAAGAGGAUCAGAAGGUGCAAUACUCAGAUCCGGAGGAUCACUACCAGAGAAAGAGAAAGAGGAGAGGUAUUACACUACGAGAGGCGUUGUUGAUACCAACGGAGAAGACAGCAACGGCAAGGGAGAGGAGAGUAUGUGGCCGAAGCUGUUUGUGACGCUGUCGAGCAAAGAGAAGGAAGAAGACUUCAUGGCUAUGAAAGGCUGCAAACCUUCUCACAGGCCUAAGAAGAGAGCCAAACUCAUCCAAAAAAGCUUACUCGUAAGUUUCAAAGUUCAAUACUUCCUUAUUUUUUCUUUGUUUAAAGUUUUUGUGAAAAUAUUUGUUUGGAUCUCUAUGUACACAGUUGGUGAGUCCUGGAACAUGGUUGGCUGAUAUGUGUCCGGAUAGAUAUGAUGUUAGGGUCAAGAAGAGCUCCAAGAAGGUAUUAACAUUAUAAAACGUUUUUAUUUCAGCAUUUUACAGACAAUCCUCUAUAAUUUAAUAUAAUAAUAGCUUAAGAAAUGAUGUUAUGUGUGUUUGUGUUGCAGAGGAGAGCAAGAGGAUUAAAAGCAAUGGGGAAUAAUAUUGAUAGCGAUUCAGAUUGAGGAGCUUGAAGAUUAUUUUAGCUAAUAGAAAUCUUUUGCGUAUUGACUUUAGAUUAACUUUUGCUUUGUGGUGUUCACUUAAAGCAAUCUCUUAUAAAAGUAGUUUCUCUCAGUUUGAUCAUUUUGAACUACAAGGAAGCAUUGUUUCUUUGUGGGCAAUGUAUGUAUGCGCUUGUUGUUGUUGUUGUAACUUGCACACAAUCUUUUUGUAACUUACUACUGUUUCAAAUAAUGUAUUUUUGGUCCCAUCUUUUGACAUAAUGUUCUUUUAUUUUACGUGGAACAUUGACAAGUAUGCGGUUGUUUGUGCUGUAUUCUAAGAAUCAAUCUAAGCUUUGACCGGAAAAGGAUUAAAGAAGCUUAUAAAAAUGGCUUUUCCUUGUCUUCUACUGGUACCAUAAGCAUAUGCUGAAUUGAAAAUCAUACAUGAGUUCCAUCUAAUACAAACUUCACAAAUCUACAAUUAUAAACCUUUUUCAUGUAUCAAGUUUUGUUCUAGUCUUCUUAAGAUAUUUACAAGACUGAAGAGUUGUUCAUAACAAGAUGAAAGAGUGUGUAAAGAAGAAAGAAAGCCUUCUUUGUACUAGUAGUAGCUGCAGAAAGCUUAUACUUCUUUGUUUCAGCAAAAACACUAAUUGGAAACAGACUUGGCAGCUUGAAGCAUUUCCACUAUCAGUGUCUUCACAUCCCUGUAAACAUCAAAGAGUUACUCCAUGAGUUUUGGAUCGCUAUGAUAGUAAAACAGUAUCAGUAGUUUUAACAAAAAUGUAACACAUGGCAGUCUUACUUUCUGUCUUGUGCGCGUCUUGGGAACGGAACUCGGAGCUUGAAGGUGUUCCCUUGAAGAGUAGCCUGUCACGAACAAGAGUACAUAUGUUUAUGAACUAAAAGAUGAAAAAGGAUGAGAAAAAGGUUUUAGUGUUCAGAACAACACACCUUAACAUUGAAACCAAGGCUGUCCAAAUCAAGCAUCAAGGCGCUCUCCACCUGACAUUUAAGGAAGUUUAAUUGUGAUGUAUAUUGACAGGCCAGGCUCAGCCAGAUCACAUCGAACUAAAUGAACACUACCGUCAGCUAUGGUUAUGGUGACUAAGGUUAAGAUAGUGAGUUACUUACAGGUAUGGAUGUUGCAUGGUGUACAAUGGCUAUGGUAUCCUCUUCAUGAUCUUUGUUCAUGUGUGACUGACAAAAUUAAAAUUGAGUUUUUAGUAUGCAUCUACUGAUAUCUGUUGAUGAGAUAAUGUGAUUGACAUAUACCGUUACAGGCUUUGCAAACUGAGCUAUAGGAUCUACUUUGGCUGCUUGGUACUCCUCUUUGUUGAAUUCUAAAAAAAAAGGAGAUUUCAGAGAGAAAGCAAAAUCAUAUAAACUGGAUUUGCAUAAGACAGUAUAUAUUAAGAGGAUGAAGCAACCUCCAGAUCCUAGAAAAGCAGUUGCAACCCCUGAGACAAAUCUGACAACUUUUGGUUCAAUUCGCAUAAAGCUGAAGUCUCCAAAAUCAACCUUCACAAGAAAAAGUUCCGUUCACUUAUUGAGAGAUGUUAUAUUACAUUGUCACUUUCUAGACAUUGCAAGAUAGGAUGUUUACCCAGAAAGCAUUGGGAUGCUUGGCUAAAUAGGCAGAUCGAACAGCCGCUUGGUCUUUGUCAGAAACCUACAUAAUGCACACAACAACCAUUGAAGCUUAAAUUUAGAUGUGUAUAAACUUAUAAAGCAACAAGGCAGAAACACAUACCAACACUGCAUCACCGUGUAGGGUGAUCCUCAAACCGGUCCUAUCCUCUGGGUCUCUAGCAACCAGUAGUGAGCAUUUUGGAUUAGCUAUCAGAUCCUGCAAUCAGAGAAGCUGAGUCACUAAUCCACACAUUGUAAGUUUGUAAACUACAGCUCCAAAAUGCAGCAAAACAGAAAUGAAUGAUCUGAUACAUGGUUAAAAUAAGCAACAAAACCUUUGUAUGGACAGCCAAGCUACUAACUGCUAGAAUCGGAGAACCAUCAGCAUCACAUGCAAAAUCAACCAUUGAUCCUGAAGGAUAACCCUCAUACUUCUGCACCAUAGGAGGAUUACACAUUAACUAUAUUAUUCUGCAUCAGUAAUUAGAAUCCUAGAACCUCAAAUCUGAUAAACCAAUGUUCAUAUAAGAAUAGAAACUAAUUGCUCACCUGAGAGAAAGUGGAAAGCAUACCACAAACACUACCGUUAAGCACUGUUCGUAUUUCCUCAACAGGAGAAAGACGAGCAGCCUUCGCCUGGAAAGGAAACGAGACAAAACCGCUUAUCAACUUUUUUUAACAACACAUUCACAUCCACGCCUUGAUACUAAAAUAUGUGCAUUACUGUGUUACCUCAUGAGCUUGAAUCAAUUUGAAAACAUCUGUCUCACCGCUCACACUCCCCGGUGAUACAGCCUGAUUGAUAUAUGAUACAAAGUUUACAACUUUUUCCGAAUAUUGAGCUCAAAAGCUACCCAAAUACAUGAAAUCAUCAGACAAAUCAUCAUUCACCCGAUCUACUCAAUCAUAAAAAUGUUAUUUUUGCAUAAAAAUUCAAACUUUUCUGUCUCUAAUCAUAAAAAUGUUAUUUUUGCAGAAAAAUUCAAAAUUUUCUGUCUCUAAUAACGAAAAGAUGAACCUGGGAAGAAGACUGAGCUGCUGAGGCCAUCACGGUGAGAGAGGAGGAGAACUUUCUACGGCGAACGGUGGAGAUCGAUUUUGGAUGGAUAAGACAUGUAGGAGAGAAGAAUCUAGCUCCUGUGAUUAAAGGCGUUGAGAAAUGAGCAACCACCGACUUCAUCUUCUUCUCCCCCACGAAACCUUCGAUGGUUCGUUUGGUUUACACGUCUUCUCUACUGUGCGAUGAGACACAACAACAACCCCUCACAGUCCGGUUUGGUUUCAAUCUUCAAAUUUCCGGUUUAAUUUGGUAUUAAUUUUUUUUUAUCAAUGUUCCUUUCGGUUUACAAACAAACAACGUUCUUUUUGGUUUACACUUCUCUACAGUGCGAUGAGACAAGAAGUCACAACCCCUUACAGUCCGGUUUGGUUUCAAUCUAUUUCUAAAUUUCCGGUUUGUUCUGGUAUUCAAAUUUUAAUGAUGUUCCUUUCGGUUUACAAACAAACAAAUUACACAAACUGAAAAAAAAAACAAUAAUCAAACGAAGAGACGUGUAAUAUAUAAUCAAAUCAAAAGGAGUAAAUUUGACGAUCAUCGCCGUAAAAGUUAAUCGGAGUGAGUAUUGCUGCGAUCGGAAUCGAAGCAGAGGUAAGAGCCGAGAGAGGAAGCGAGGCGGCGGAGCUGGAGGAGAGGGAUGCAGAAGAUGAAACGGAGGACGGUGGCGCGAGGGAGUCUCUCCGGGUUACAAGCUACGUAUUGCCAUAGAUCCGUCGAUAUGUUCACUGUUGUCUCCACCAACCUACUGUUCAGCACCAUCUCUAUCUCUCAAAAUCUCAAAAGUUGAUCGAGUUCUGUUCUGUUUUUUUUUGUUUAAUUACCGAACUCACGGUCUGAAAACAGAGGAAAAUAACAAAUAAACCCCUCUAUUUUUGCAAACCUUUCAAAUAAGUCCUUAAAGAAAUUAAAGUUAAUUCUGAAACCCAUUUAUCCACUAUUCUAAAAUAAAAAUUAAUCAGUUUGGGCUAAUCUUUGAAGGUACUACAUAUUGUUCAGUUCCAAAUAUCAGCCAACAAGGAUCAAGAUGAUCUACUUCAAUGGUCUUCAGCUCAACACAGGAAAACUAGGUUUGUUUAUUUGAAAAAAUAAUAUCGUUUGAAUUGUUAAUUUUUAUAUCUUAUGUCAUGUAUAGUCAAUGAAAGCUUGAAAAGAAACAAUAAUAUAAUAACAGUUUGAUUUAAUAAAUUAAAUGAAGAAGUUGGUAUACAUGUCAUAAUUAGAGUGUGCGUUAAUGAAUAAAAGCUAAAGCACAUAGAAUCUUAUAUAUAUAAGUUUUUUUUAUCAAAAAUUAUGUCAGUUUUGUUGUAUAAAAUAUAUAAUAGAUAAUAUAUUGAAUAACUUCGUCAAUAUGAUAACUUAUUCGUCAAUGUAAUCAUGUCAAUUACUACUUGAUCCAUAAAGACUAUAUUUGUGACAAAAACUUUUUAAAAGAUAUCCUAGAAAAUUUUUCUUUGUAAAAUAUAACAUUUUUCUUUUAGAAAAAAUCCUAACUAAGACUCACACUCUCUUUUUUCCUCUGCUUGCUUAUGCUCUGCAAUAUAUUGAUGAACUCUUAAUAAUAGUCUCUAUCAUCUUUCCUGGCUCAUCGAGUGUCCUCCCAUAAUUGUAAGUGACUUCAAAUCUCUAUAAAAAAAAUGUGGCCAUGUAAUGUGGUAUUAUUAUCUAAAAUUACCUAAGACAUGUUAUAAGGAAGUCAAAUUUCUUUUACUAGACCUACAAAGCUACUAACAGUUUUGAAAACUAUGGUCCAAAUUUUGUUUUUAUAUUAUGUGUCCUGAAAGUAAUGUUUUACCUGCUUUAAUACAAGGACGAGCCUGGUCUCAUCCACUAUUUGUUUUUGCUUCCAUGUAUUUAAACCAGUCUGCUUUGCUCCAACCAAAAAAAAAAGAACCAGUCUCCUAAUGUUAUCUUCUGUAAAUCUAUUUUUUUCUAUGAUCAAAACAAUUUGAUACGAAAACAGGAAACAAGGAUCCAAGAGAGAAAAAUAAAAACAUUAUAUUACAAAUAAUUAGUGAUAUAUAAUCGUCAUUAUUAUUAGAUAAAUAAUAAUCCUUCCGUUUCAGAAAGAUCUAUAUUCUAGAAAAAAAUAUUAUUAAGCAAAAAAUAGUGAUAUAUAAUCGUCAUUAUUAUUAUUAGAUAAAUAAAACUCCAUCCAUUUCAGAAAUAUCUAUAUUCUAGAAAAAAAAAUAUUAUUUCAAAAAGAUACAUGUUUUACCAUUUCAAAUUUUCAAUGUAUUAUUUAAUGAAAAAUUAUAAAUUUUAAAAACGUUAAUGAUGUUUAUUGAAUUUUUGUCGGCUAAAAGUUAUGAGAAAUUAUUAUUCACAAAAACAAUGCAUUUCAAUAAAACUUUAAUGUAUUUUUUUAAUAUAUGUGAAAAUUCUUAAAUAUGUAUCUUUUUGAAACGGAGAGAGUAUUUUUUACUAUUGUUUAUACCUAAGGAUGUCGUAUUUAACACUCCUAUCUAUCGUUUGUUAACUCUAAAUAUGCUAAUUGCUAUUUAUAUUUUGGUUAGGAUUUAAGAAAGAAAAAUAAAAAUACUUUUUUACAAAAUAAAAGUGUUGAGAAUUUUAGGAAAAAAAAAGAGAGAUUAUUAUCACAUAAUUUUGUUUGGGAAAAAAAAUUGGGGACUCACAUCAGUUAGAGAGACACUAUGUGCUCAAUAUUAUUGGCAAUGCUGCCUUCACAUCGUAUACUGGCCCUACAUCACCUGUGGACACUCAGUCCAGCAUCCAAUAUGAUAUAUAAAGACACACAAAACACUUCAAGUAACUGAUGUGGGAUAAAUGUAGGAGAGAUUAAUGAGAAUUGAGUUGCUUUUUGCUGGGCUGGGCUGGGCCGAUUUGGUUUCAUUUCAAUUUUUUCAUCCAAUUAGGAUGAACAAGGCAUGAUUGAUUCAGUUUCCAGAGGAACGAGAGAGUCAAUGGCUGCUACUACUUUCAAUUUAAUGUUCUCCGUAGUAAUCGUUUUCAACUCAAAGGAGUAAUCAAUCAUCCGAAGAGAUUUGAUAGAACAGUGUAUUCGAGGAUAAACCUAAAUAAGAUUCGAUUAGAUCCAAUAUGCUUAAAAUAUUCCAAAAGAAGCAAUCGAUCAAAGAAACUUAUUAUUUUAAGAGUUAGCUAGAUCUUGAUACGUGCAUCCACACAGAUUAUUUUAAGAUUUAACUAGUUGUAAGUAUUUUAGUAUUGUUUCCUAACUCUAUAAUAGAUGUUAUUUGAUAUAAUUUUAUAUAAUAUUUGAAUUAUAAAUUUUGAUUGCCUCACUUAUUAACCGGUAAAUUUGGUUCAAACAUUGAAUAGACCAUUACUUUCAAUCUAGAAUUGUAUAGAUUGUUUAAAUGUUGUAUCUUAAGAAAGAUUAAGAGAUUGUACAAAUUUUGUCAUUAGCAUCCAUGAUAAACGAAUAACUGAUAUAUAACUUAUUGAAUUCAUCAUUUUAUAAAUGUUAUGUCAUCUGAAUUAUAAUUUUCUCAGGUUGUUUAUUUGGAAAAGUAAUGGGCGGUUGGAUUGUUAGUUUUUAUAUCUUAUGUUAUGUAUAGUCAAUGAAAGCUUGAAAAGAAACAAUUAUAUAAUAACAAUUUGAUUUAAUAAAUUAAAUGAAGUAGUUGGUCAAUAUGUCAUAAUUAGAGUGUAUGUUAAUGAAUAAAAGUUAAAGCACAUAGAAUCUUAUAUAUGUAAGUUUUUUUUUGCUAAAAAUCAUGUCAGUUUUGUUGUUUAAAAUAAAUAAUAGAUAAUAUAUUGAAUAACCCAUUUAUUCACUAUUCUAAGAUAAAAAAAAAUAAUCAGUUUGGGCUAAUCUUUGAAGGUACUACAUAUUUUCAGUUCCAAAUAUAGCCAAGAAGGUUCAAGAUGAUGUACUUCAAUGGUCUUCAGCUCAAAUAAUUGAUUCUCAGAAUCCUUAUUGCUGGUUUCUCUUGGGUCUUUAAGGAAUGAUCAAAGCUUUGUUCCUAUUCAUAGCAGACGUUCUAGCUAUUCAGUUCAUUCUGACAUGAAGGCUUAUCUUCAAGGCUGCAUUUGGGCAGUUCAAAGCUAAUUAUAGUCUCAGUUUUUUUAUAAUACUAUACUUGAUGUUGAAGAUAGAGAUCUCAUUGCUGCGGUUAACUGGCCUCCUACUUAGCCUCCUGCUUAACGGUUUAAUGGUAAUGAAAGUAUUAUUUUCAGGGAAAAAAAAAAGAUUCUCCUCCACAGGUACUCUAAAAAGGAUUGAUACUGUUGAAUGACUUGUUUGCUUUUAUUAUAUCAAAAAAUAAGAUUUACAUACAACGCCCUAUUUCUCUUGUGCGAAGAGUUUACUCUCUAAUCAUUUACCGGUGGGCUCACCGGGAUCGCCUUCACCACCACUAGCAUCAGUCCUCGUGAAGAAGCGAACCGUGCUAUCCAAUACCUCUUUGUUAAAGAGUGUUUCCCUUCCAAACAUUAAAUGGAAGUGUCCAUCCAUAUCUAUAACCGUCUUGCUAUCUUGUGGAGCGGUCCGUUCGGGACCUGAAGAUGCAGCGGACUUCGUUUCGACGAUACUCCGAGGUGCGGAUUGGGUGUUAACGUCACCUUUUCAUGUGACUAUCUCUCAGCUAUCCAACUUUGUUGUGAAAGCCUUAUCGACGCAUUUAAGCUUGGUCUUGAAUUCGCUGUCAUCUUCUCAUGAAGAACUAUCUAUUUUAUCUGCUUUUGGCAUUGUAGUUUAUCUUUUUAAUCAAAGAGGAUGGUACAUUCCCUCUUGUUAUUGUAACCAAAACAACUGAGUUUGAAUGAAAGUAAGCUGUGUUUCAAAAAAAANNNNNNNNNNNNNNNNNNNNNNNNNNNNNNNNNNNNNNNNNNNNNNNNNNNNNNNNNNNNNNNNNNNNNNNNNNNNNNNNNNNNNNNNNNNNNNNNNNNNNNNNNNNNNNNNNNNNNNNNNNNNNNNNNNNNNNNNNNNNNNNNNNNNNNNNNNNNNNNNNNNNNNNNNNNNNNNNNNNNNNNNNNNNNNNNNNNNNNNNNNNNNNNNNNNNNNNNNNNNNNNNNNNNNNNNNNNNNNNNNNNNNNNNNNNNNNNNNNNNNNNNNNNNNNNNNNNNNNNNNNNNNNNNNNNNNNNNNNNNNNNNNNNNNNNNNNNNNNNNNNNNNNNNNNNNNNNNNNNNNNNNNNNNNNNNNNNNNNNNNNNNNNNNNNNNNNNNNNNNNNNNNNNNNNNNNNNNNNNNNNNNNNNNNNNNNNNNNNNNNNNNNNNNNNNNNNNNNNNNNNNNNNNNNNNNNNNNNNNNNNNNNNNNNNNNNNNNNNNNNNNNNNNNNNNNNNNNNNNNNNNNNNNNNNNNNNNNNNNNNNNNNNNNNNNNNNNNNNNNNNNNNNNNNNNNNNNNNNNNNNNNNNNNNNNNNNNNNNNNNNNNNNNNNNNNNNNNNNNNNNNNNNNNNNNNNNNNNNNNNNNNNNNNNNNNNNNNNNNNNNNNNNNNNNNNNNNNNNNNNNNNNNNNNNNNNNNNNNNNNNNNNNNNNNNNNNNNNNNNNNNNNNNNNNNNNNNNNNNNNNNNNNNNNNNNNNNNNNNNNNNNNNNNNNNNNNNNNNNNNNNNNNNNNNNNNNNNNNNNNNNNNNNNNNNNNNNNNNNNNNNNNNNNNNNNNNNNNNNNNNNNNNNNNNNNNNNNNNNNNNNNNNNNNNNNNNNNNNNNNNNNNNNNNNNNNNNNNNNNNNNNNNNNNNNNNNNNNNNNNNNNNNNNNNNNNNNNNNNNNNNNNNNNNNNNNNNNNNNNNNNNNNNNNNNNNNNNNNNNNNNNNNNNNNNNNNNNNNNNNNNNNNNNNNNNNNNNNNNNNNNNNNNNNNNNNNNNNNNNNNNNNNNNNNNNNNNNNNNNNNNNNNNNNNNNNNNNNNNNNNNNNNNNNNNNNNNNNNNNNNNNNNNNNNNNNNNNNNNNNNNNNNNNNNNNNNNNNNNNNNNNNNNNNNNNNNNNNNNNNNNNNNNNNNNNNNNNNNNNNNNNNNNNNNNNNNNNNNNNNNNNNNNNNNNNNNNNNNNNNNNNNNNNNNNNNNNNNNNNNNNNNNNNNNNNNNNNNNNNNNNNNNNNNNNNNNNNNNNNNNNNNNNNNNNNNNNNNNNNNNNNNNNNNNNNNNNNNNNNNNNNNNNNNNNNNNNNNNNNNNNNNNNNNNNNNNNNNNNNNNNNNNNNNNNNNNNNNNNNNNNNNNNNNNNNNNNNNNNNNNNNNNNNNNNNNNNNNNNNNNNNNNNNNNNNNNNNNNNNNNNNNNNNNNNNNNNNNNNNNNNNNNNNNNNNNNNNNNNNNNNNNNNNNNNNNNNNNNNNNNNNNNNNNNNNNNNNNNNNNNNNNNNNNNNNNNNNNNNNNNNNNNNNNNNNNNNNNNNNNNNNNNNNNNNNNNNNNNNNNNNNNNNNNNNNNNNNNAUAUAUAUAUAUAUAUAUAUACAUGUUAAUCAUAUUAGGUAGUCCCGUAACUUUUAUUUAAAGAAAGAAUUGAAAAUAUUUAUUGUACACUAAUGAUCAAUUUAUUAAUUAGUUUAAUAAAAAGUAUAAUAUAUAUUUAUAUAAACCAAUUUAUUUUUUUAAGAAUCAUCCUGAUGAUGACACGUGCUACAAAAAUAUGUUGUAAUGUACUAUGAUUAAUAUACAUGGGCAGUACAUGUACAUUUCAAAUGGGAAAGGGGAUUGAAUCCUAAAGAAGCUGGCUGCGCUGCAGUACAUGUUAGAAUGGAAGUAAGGUGAAAUUUCAAAUAUAGAUAACAACCCGUUCUUAUUUGAACUCUAUUGCUAACGAAAUUUUCAUGCUAAACGUUAUAGUGUUCUUGUAAAAUAUAUAUAUCCCAUAUCGAUGUUUCGAUCAACUGAUAACGGUUUUGAAAAAGAAUACAAAUACAUGGACGUAACGCCGGUAAGGGUGAUAGAGAUGUGAGAUAAGAAUCACAUGCAAAAGUGGCCCGCCAUUUCAUUUUAUUUUGCUUCUUUUGGACACUGCCAUAUGAAUGCUGUCAACGCAAUUUCUGUCUUUACGAUUACAAAUAAUCAUACUCUACCGCAUAACUUCCUUCACCAACAAAUAUAAUUAACAUUAUUUAUAUGCGUGAAAUGGCUAGGAAAUUUAGAAUAAUGAUAUUAUUUUUCAUGAACUUAUUCCAUUGUCAUAAUUUUUCAAUAACACGACUUUUCUCCCCAAACCUCUCUGCUAUAUUAAAACUGUAAUAACAUAACAAGAUUUGAUAAAAGCAGACCAUUUACAAAGAUUUUUUUUUACAACGAUGAACUGAAUGUUCGACGUAUGAUCCGCUCAAAUAAGAUUUGGGUCUUUGAUUUUGGAAUAACAGUAUAAUAGUAAUGUAUUAUCAACUAUUGAUUGCAUAGAAGUGAUGUAUUACCAAAUCUAAGCGUCGUGAUUAGCCAAAAGGGACAGGGAAGUAAAGAAGCACCGUACACUCGUGGACCCAUUAGAAUCUGUUUGUCGGUAAGAUUAAAACCCCAUCAAUGACACGACACGUGGAUCUGCAGCCUUGCAGAUGAUGAGCACUUACUAGUUUCACAUUAGAUCGCGUUAACGUGGAUUGAAUACAUGACGCUAAAUAUCGCGACAGAUAAUACUACUUUUCGGGUACACUACAAAUAACAAUACCUAACAUGCAAAUUGCAUUAAUCGUUAUGAAAAAUGUACAUAUGUUUUGUAAUAACAAAGCAAACUGACUCGUUUUGAUAUAUAUACAUAUUCCUUUUGAACGCUUUCCCUUAAUUUAUUGUUGAUUUAAUGAUAUUAUACAUAAUUUUUUUUAAAGGCUUUCGUAUUAUUAUUUUUUGGUUUUAUUUGUUACAUUAAAAAGCAUGAAGGAAAAAAGGAACUGAAAAAUUACAAAGGCCCAUUUAACCCCUAUUACACAUAAUUUUCAAAAUGAUAUUAUUCAUAAACAAAAGGCAUUCCCUAUUGGGAAAAUUGUUUUUGGGAAAAUUAUUUUUUUAGAGCGAAAAAAUGAUAAGUCUCUUUAGACUAAUCUUAUAUACUUUAUGUUCCAUUAGGCUAAUUAUUUUCAAAAUGGCAAUAAUGCCCUUAAAAUUGUAAUUUUAUUUUUUUCGUUUUUUUUUGUUUUUUUUAUAAAAAAAAUCGUUUUUUUUUUCCAAAUAUGAAAGUGAAUAUUCCCAAAUAUUUUGUUUCCAUAUUUCUAAGAACUGAUUUCUUAUCUGUAGAAUACAACUAAUCUGUAGAAAUCGAUUUCUACAGGUUUUUAGAAUUAUAGUAUUAUGUAGAUUUUGAUUUCUACAUGUUUUAGAUUUACAGUAAAUCUGUAGAAGUUGUAGCUUUAUAUUAAUGUGUAGAUUUUGAUUUCUAAAGAUUUUAGAUCGGUAGGUUAAGCGCUGAAUGUGUAUUCUAAAUAUUUUUAGAAUACUCUCAUUUACGUAGAUCACGUAUUCUAAACAUUGUAAAUUCAAUGAAAAUAGUGGAUUUUGUUUUCUACUUCGUAAAAUGUCAUUUCUACUUUAUUUAAAACAUAAUCUGAAAUUUAUGAUUUAAAAAUUUUUAGAACUGAAAAAAAUACCACUAAAUUCAUAUUGGUAUUUUAUCAAAAGUUACUAUUUUUUCAAUUUUUUUGUUUGUAAAACUAUUUAAUAAAUUUAUUUUCAAAAAUAUUAAAGGAUGUUAUGGACAAAAAUGACAUAAAAUAGAUAUUAGUCUAAAGGGACAUAGUUAUCAUUUUUUUUGCUCUAAAAACACAAUUUUUCCUUCCUUAUUUUCCCCAUGAAUACUAAUUAGGCCACUUCCUAAUUUUCACCGAAAAUUUUGCGAUUUUGUAGUGAUAAUUGAGUUGUAACAUAUAUAUCUCUACCUCACAGCAUAAACUACGCAGAAGAAAUGUUCUCGAUACUCAUAAGGGAGGACACCAACUAUUUUUUAGAGCAUUUCCAAAAGAUAUUCUAUAACUUCAAAUAUAAAUGCUUCUACUCUUUAUUCUGCAACAAAAAACUUUAUAACUUCAAAUUGAAGUUUUGAGAGGUAAAACUCUAUAUUUAAAUUUUCACUACUCAAAACAUCAAAUUUAAAUAUUUUUGUUUGUAUUUUGGCCUGUACAAUAAAUAUCACAUUUAUAAUUUUUAAAUAAAUAGUUUAUCCUUUUGAUCGUUAAAAUUUUUAUACCUCAUAAAUAUUUCAAAUUUUGUUUAUAAACUUAAGUCUUACACAUAAAAUUAAACAAAACUUUAAAAUAAGAUUUAAAAUAUUUUAAAACUAGAUUUAGACAACAAUAUUAUACAAAAGAAAGUUAACAAAAAAACUUUUAAAAAUUACAUGAAUGCAUAACUAUUACACAAAUUUAAAUAUUAUAACAACACUAAUAGUUAUGUAAAUUUGAUCCAAACCUCCAAAAUUUCUAAAAUAUUGUCCAAAACUUUUUUCUUUAACUGAAGAUAGUUGUUGUUGUUUUUAUGUAUUUUUGUAUGAUUAUUUCUUGUCCAAAUCAAAUGUAUUCACGAGUAUUAAUAUUAUCGAUAAAAGUUAGACUUCUAGCAAUAUUUGAUUUUUUCUUUUAUUUUCUUGUUAAGAUCUAAUAUAUUUAUAAGUAUUAAUAUCACCUGAUUUCUAUAAUUUCUAGCUUGUAAUCUACAAAGUAAAAAUGAAGAGAGUCAUUUUUACUUCGAAAUGCACUAAUAGAUCAUAUAUGCAUUAGGAAAAUCAUUUUAUGAAAUAAUAAGGUAUUUUGUUUGAAGUUUAAUAUUAAUUAAGUUUUUUUUAUUUAAAUUUUUAUAUUUAAUAGAAUAUUUUAUUAAUUAAUAUUAUUGUAAUAUGUUUAUAUUUGUGCUAAUUAUUUACAAAAAUUUUAUGAAUUUAAAUUAGUUAUGACAAAUAUAAGGACUAUAUUAUAAAAUAUAAAUAGUUUUGAAGCUGAGUUUGAAUAUGUUUUGCUUUUAGAAAAUAACAUUUUUAAACUUUAAAUAUAGAGUUUUGAAAACUUAAAAAUAAAGUUCAUUUUUGGAAAUGAUCUUAGGGUAUGCUUGAGCCAUCGUCCAUGACUUUCUUUUCCUUGUCGUUCUCUUUUCGCAUGUUUGACUUCAUAUGUUCCUUGUUUAAUAUUCGACUUCGUCAGUCCUGGAUGAUUUUUAUGGAAUUAUUUGUUAUGUUUUUCGGGCUUUGAAGAUGUACUUUUUGCUUAAUCCGACUGCGCUAUUCACUAUGAUAGGUAUUUAUUUUGAGUUUUCAUUACCAGAGAUCCGCUUGAAGUUUGGACUCAUUGUUGCUUCGGAAAUUUUAUCAUUGUGAUUAUCUAUGUAUGCUAGUUUUUUAUCUUUUCAGUUUAUACUUCUCAAUAGUCAUGUAUUAUGUCUUCAACGAUCAACUCCAAUUGGAAGUUGUUAAUAUGAGGUUUCAAACAUACAUAUAUAUGUGUAUAUAUAUAAAUAUUUUAAAACUACGAGAAAUCCAACCGAAAAUAUUUCUUUUAAAAUAUUUUCAGUUAGAUUUUCCGUAAUUUAGAAAUACUAUAAUUAAAAAAGAAAGUAAGAAACUAAGAAAAUAAGAGUAGAUCAAAACGCUCCCAGACACGGGGCUCGAGGCACUCCAUAAAUCAAUGUUCUCCGGCGCCGGUGACGCGUUUUCCCGUCGGCGCUGGCUACUCGCGGCGACGUCAUCAUCGACCUGUAUCUCUCUACUCUCCUUUCGCUCCAGCUCUCGUGUUCUUUGCUGCUCAAGGUCACAUUAUUUAUCCAUCGGGGCUCCGAUGGUCUCCUCUAGGCCGAAGGUUUCUUCGACGCCGUUGUUCUACGGGGACUCCCGUUCUGUGAAUCUAUGUAGAUCCUCUACCCGCCGUCUCACCCUUUACCGCCCGCCUCAUCGUGGUCUCAGAUCUGUAAGCUCAAACCGCAGAUCCGUGUAUUUCAUCCUCCCCCUCUCGAUGUCACUCCGGCUAGAAGAUCCUCACCGACGUUCGCCCUCCAUCUCUUCGCAAGCUCAUUCUCAGACAACAACUUCUGAUGUCUUGACCGGUGUUAGUGGGAUUCCACAUAAAACGCGGUUUCUAGAUCCGAAACUGUUCCAGUUUAGAGUCAUGGGCUCGCCGUCCCUCAUCUCCCUUACCACCGUCACCGCCAAUCACCGCGCUUCCUCCGCCUCACUUUUCCAACAAGGUCACGAUUCUACUUUUCUUAAGCUGGGCCUUCAGAUAUUGAAUUUGGGCUUGGUUAGCCCAAUUGCUUUUAAUUAUAAAUGGUCCAGUCCAUUGCUUUCACAGCCCACAGUCUUGUGGGGGUUUUUAAUCUCUUUGAUUAAUUGCCUGAAGACUUCCGAUGGGUUCAACGGAGUUUUUACCGAAGCAGAUUUACAUACAACGCCCUAUUUCUCUUGUGCGAAGAGUUUACUCUCUAAUCAUUUACCGGUGGGCUCACCGGGAUCGCCUUCACCACCACUAGCAUCAGUCCUCGUGAAGAAGCGAACCGUGCUAUCCAAUACCUCUUUGUUAAAGAGUGUUUCCCUUCCAAACAUUAAAUGGAAGUGUCCAUCCAUAUCUAUAACCGUCUUGCUAUCUUGUGGAGCGGUCUGUUCGGGACCUGAAGAUGCAGCGGAUUUCGUCUCGACGAUACUCCGAGGUGCGGAUUGGGUGUUAACGUCACUUUUUCAUGUGACUAUCUCUCAGCUAUCCAACUUUGUUGUGAAAGCCUUAUCGACGCAUUUAAGCUUGGUCUUGAAUUCGCUGUCAUCUUCUCACGAAGAACUAUCUACUUUAUCUUCUUUUGGCAUUGUAAUUUAUCUUUUUAAUCAAAGAGGAUGGUACAUUCCCUCUUGUUAUUGUAACCAAAACAACUGAGUUUGAAUGAAAGUAAGCUGUGUUUCAAAAAAAAAAAAAACGUUGCAAAGGAAGAAAACUGUAACAUAUCUUUCAUAGUUCAAACUUCUUUGCAUUUGCAUUGUUCCAGGAGAGUGAAGAAACAUAAAGAAAGCAGCCAACACUUAUUAAAAAAAAAAGGAAAAUCAAAUGUGACUUGGUUGGAUUCUGGUGGUGGUUACUGGUUUUGAAGGAAGCCUUUGGCUUCUAAAUAAGCGAUGACUUCCUCUGCCAUAGCUACAGGGGAAGGACACUCUCCUUCCUUCUCUUUCAGCUCUAUCUAUUUCAUUUGUUUCAAAACAUACCAACAAACAAAAGAAACAUAUUCACACACGUGGAUUUUGAGUGAUCCUUGGUGAAUAAUUAUAUAUAUUCACAUGGAUCAUACCUCACAAUUCAAGGGAGAUUCAUAUGGAUCAUCAAUCCCUGUGAAGCCUGCACAAGAAGCCUUUUGUUAAAAUAUUCAAAUGAUAUGGCAGCAAUGUGCUAUCUUCUGUUACUCUAUGGAAGCUUCUGUUAACUCACCUUUGAUCUUUCCUGCACGUGCAAGCUUAUAUAAGCCUUUAGGGUCUCUUGCUUCACACAAUUGUAGAGACAUAUUCAUGUAAACCUAAAGAGUUUAUGCCACACAACAUCAAAUAAUAUGUUUUUUAAGCUGAAAAGUCUGAAUGUGAAUGGCUUGCCUCGAUAAAAGAUGAGCCCCGCAUCAUUUCCCUAGUUUGUCGACAUUCUCAAAACCCUUUCCUAAUGAUCUGAUCUACCACCAGAAACUGCUAUUAAGCUGCAAAGACACGUUCAAAAACAAUUAAACAUGACCAGUCUUCUUGAAAUUUCACAAAGAUAUAAUAAUGUUGUUCCUUUGUUUACCUUUUGCUUUGUUCCUUCUCUAUUUUUUUGGGGGUCAUUGCGAGUGGGAAAACGAGAACCGACAUUAACGGGAGUGGCAGACAGUUGGAGACAACAGUGGGACACAUGGCAGUAACAAAGACUCGGUCCCUCGAGACUUGUUACGUUAUUGGGCACAUUAUUUGGGAAAAUAAUAGGCUAAAGCCCAUUCAAGGCUGCAGUCAAGUUUCCUAAAUUGUUACGGUCAAUGUUCUUACCAUAUAUUUUUUUUCUUUUUGUAAAAAUGUUCUUACCAUAUUUAAUGGAUUUAAUAUCUUCUUUUGGAAAGUGCAAGGGAAAUAAAUCUUGGUGGAAAUCUACGUAAAAUUCAAUUAAUUAGUGGAAGCAUAAAUCAUGGAGGAAUCUUUUUCCAAAAGAUUCUUUGAUGGUGGAAUCUUGUAAUUCUUAACUAAUUCUCUAAAGAUUUUGAUUCGAUUACUUAGAAAGAAUGUACAUAUGGGAAGAAUAUUUACAAUAAAAGCUGAAUAUUAUAUGUGUAAGAAAUGUAUACGUUUUUCUUUCGUUUUGCUACAAGCUCACUAAGUGUAUACGUUUAUUUUGUCACUGCUCACAGAAGUGUAUACUUUAUAUAGAUGUAGGGGGGACUAAUAUAAGUUAAUAACACGUAAAGAUCUCAUUUACAAAAAAAGACACGUAAAGAUCUCAUGACAUGCAAGAUUCAUUACUAUGAACUAUGUUCAAGUGUAUGGAUAUAGAAAUACUUUAUACUGAAUUCUACAAUAUUUAUGUAUAUAUAUGUAUGUGUGUUUGUGAUAAUUGUUUACUUAAAAAAAGACAUACUGCUGUGACAAUUCAAAAUCAGGAUCAGUUAUGGGGUUACCAUAUCAUUUGGAUUAUUCAUUUUCCUUAUACAAAUUCUCAUUUAUGUGCCACCAUAAACAGUAUCAUUUUCUUCUUCUAGUUUAUGAAGCAUAUAUACACAAACACAAACACGAAGUGUGUAGGUAUCUCUCUCUAUAUAUAUACACACUUGCAAUACCAAGAAUCACAUUUUCCAGUAGCUUUCUUUUCAAAGUCGAAUAAACCAAAAAUUAAGAACACCAUGAACGCUUUAGCGGCAACCAACAGAAACUUCAAGCUUGCUUCUAGGCUUCUUGGUUUGGACUCAAAGCUCGAGCAAAGUCUUCUCAUUCCCUUCAGAGAAAUCAAGGUCCGUUUUCUGUUUUCUAACCGGUCUGAUUAAAGAUCACUAAACCGGAAUAUAACCAAUUGUUGCAGGUGGAAUGUACCAUACCAAAAGACGAUGGAACUCUUGCAUCAUUCGUUGGAUUCAGAGUCCAGCAUGACAAUGCAAGAGGUCCCAUGAAAGGUGGCAUCAGAUAUCAUCCAGAGGUUUGCUUUCAUUUAAACCAAAAUAAUUAACUUCGAUUAUGGUAUGAACUAAACCGGAUUUUGGUUAUUGACAAGGUGGAACCGGAUGAAGUAAACGCAUUGGCACAGCUCAUGACAUGGAAAACAGCUGUGGCUAAGAUACCUUACGGUGGAGCCAAAGGAGGGAUUGGUUGUGACCCGAGCGAGCUAAGCAUCUCAGAGCUCGAACGUUUGACACGAGUUUUCACACAGAAGAUCCAUGACCUCAUUGGUAUUCAUACCGAUGUUCCUGCUCCUGAUAUGGGAACCGGUCCUCAGGUUUUGUAAAUACCAUCAUUUAAAAUCUUAUUUCUUGUACUUAUGUGUUGAUGUUGUCUGAAUAUAAUCAUGCAUUGUGUUAAAGACAAUGGCGUGGAUUCUUGAUGAAUACUCGAAAUUUCACGGACAUUCUCCAGCUAUUGUGACCGGCAAACCCAUUGUAAGUGCCUGUUCUAACAAGAUUUAGGUCUGUUUGGUUUAUAUGGUUAUUGAGGAUGGAUGUUUUGAGCAGGAUCUUGGUGGAUCACUGGGGAGAGAUGCUGCUACAGGAAGAGGAGUGUUAUUCGCAACAGAAGCUCUACUCAAUGAACAUGGAAAGAGCAUAGCUGGACAGAGAUUCGCCAUCCAAGUACUUAAAGAUGAUAAGUUUUCAGUUGCUUGCGUAGGAAGGCACUCAUAUAUUCUCUGUUUUUUAGGGUUUUGGAAAUGUUGGUUCUUGGGCGGCGAAGUUGAUAAAUGAGAAAGGUGGGAAGAUUGUGGCAGUGAACGAUGUGACAGGAGCAAUCAAGAACAAGGAUGGAAUCAAUAUCUCUGGUUUGCUUGAGCAUACCGAAGAAAACAUAGGAGUCAAAGGGUUUGAUGGUGCUGAUGCCAUCGAUGCUGAUUCAGUUCUUGUUGAAGAUUGUGAUAUUCUUGUCCCUGCAGCUCUAGGUGGCGUCAUCCACAGGUCUUUGAUAGUUUCUUGCUACACAAGUUAACCUUUUUCUCUUGAACUUCAUUUGAAAACGCUUGAGUAUGUGUGUGUAGGGAAAAUGCAAAUGAGAUUAAAGCAAAGUUCAUCAUUGAAGGUGCUAAUCAUCCAACUGAUCCUGAAGCUGACGAGGUUUGCAAAUGUGAUUCUUUGUUCUAACUCUGUGACAGAGACUAAAUGUGUUAUCCUUCUCUGCAGAUAUUGAGGAAGAAAGGUGUUGUGAUUCUUCCAGACAUAUACGCAAACUCAGGAGGAGUCAUUGUAAGUUACUUCGAGUGGGUUCAGGUACGACACUCAAACCAAUAAGGCAGAACAUAUAACUCAAUCGAUCAAAACACUGAUUCUCGUACUGUCUGUGUGUGUGUGUGCAGAACAUACAAGGAUUCAUGUGGGAUGAGGAAAAGGUGAACAAGGAGCUAAAGAGUUACAUGACUCGCGGCUUCAAAGAUUUGAAAGAGAUGUGUAAGACUCACUCAUGUGAUCUCCGUAUGGGAGCUUUCUCCCUAGGUGUUACCCGUGUGGCUCAAGCUACCGUUAUCAGAGGCUGGGGAUCAUGAGAUCCCCCUUGGGAGUUCAGUAAUAAGAACUCAUACAAUCCUUACCUAUUGUUGAUUUGCUUUGUAAUCUUUAAAAAAAAAUCUAUCAAUGGAAGCUAAUUAGAUGCAUUUUUUUAAAAAACUCCAUUGGUUAAAGCAAAUAGAGUAUGAGAAGAAUUUAGAAACUAAAAACAAACAAAAAAAACUUUAGAGUAUGGAAGUUUGAUUUUUGAUGACUCUUGGCUGGUGUUUGCUUGAUUUAAUCUUUCUGUCCAGUCUCAUGUAAUAUUUCAAAUGUUUAGUAGUAGUCUUAGAUCAUUUCUUAUUGGAGUUGAAACAUGUGUGCACCCAUUUUUUCUAUGUCAUUUUGAGUUUUGACUUGACUAAAAUAAGUUCUUGUUAUGUACAAGACUGGCCGAAGACCAAGUGCAAGCAGUGCACCCGCUCCAUGGCCCAGUGAGCACAUAAGUUUUUUUUUUUUUAUCAUUUGUAUAACUUUUCACCAAUUUAUAAUUAACAAAUAAAAUAUUAUAAUUAAUAUUAAAUAGUAGUCAAUAUGAGUCAAUGAAUAUAUUUAUCAAACUUCUUCUUUCUCUUCAAAAAUUGUUCAUAUUUCCAAGUGACAAUGCAAUUUCAAAAAUAUCUCAAAAUCGUUGAUUCUUCGAAGAUUAUUGAAUACGUGCAUCUUCAACUGAAAAUUGACGUAAACAAGAUUAUUUUCUGUUAAUGAUCUGUUGUUUUGUUUACUGUCCUAUUUUUUUCUAUUGAAAAAAACUCAAGAUUUUUUUUGUUUGGUUCUUCGAUUCUUCCAAAAGAAGAUGAUUACACGUAUUAAUCCAAUGCAAGAGCAUAUAAAUAAAGGUGUUAAUGAAUGUCAAACUUGAUUGAUCCAAUGCAAGAGCAUAUAAAUAAAGGUCUGAAACUGAUAGAACAUUAUUAUUUAACUUAAAACUGAUAGAAUCCUGGAGAUCCCUCGACGCUCUUUCUUAUACGCCAGUCACGCACUCUGUGUGCAUAAACGGUGUUCUUCACUUCGGAGCUCAGUCCUUUGUCGAUCCCAACAAAUAUAAGGUUGUGACAUUCAAUUUGGGUUCGGAACGGUUUGGUCUAAUCGACCUACCUGACGAACUCCAAAUAAAUCCAGUUGUUGAUAGAUUGGUUAAGUAUCGAGGAACAGCCUGUUUGGUGAAAUACGACAACUGUUUCGACCUUCCCGAUGGAAAAAGAGUGCAUCGAUUAUUUGUCAAAGAGGAGAAUGAAGAUAAACUGAGUCCAAUAUUAGUUCAGAUUCCUGGGUGGAGGAAUGUUGCCGGGAAUCUGGCCUUUGAUUUCACAGGUACAACUGAAGAGGAUGAGGAGCUUGUGUUCGCGGUAUCUUCCGUUGGGAUUGAUGGAUACCAUUACGUUAUCUACUUCAACUCGGAAACAGAGCUCCUGAGGAAGAUCAAGAUCGACGGAGGUUCAUCUGGUGCGACGUUGUGACAGAGAUUGAUCACUUCGAUUCGCUGCUUCUUACUUGAGUUUCGGUUGUCUAUUUAUCUCACGGUUCAUUGUUGUUGCAUUUCUGGUUUCAGUUUCCGUUAUGUCUUUAUCUUAUAUGCUUCAUUGUCGCAUUUCUGGUUUCAAUUUCCGUUAUCAAAGAAGCUUGUAUGUUUGGGCCCUAAUAUUAAGUAAAAACCUCAGUUUAAAUAAAAUUGAUUACCAUUUUACUGAAACGUAUAUAAACAUGUUCUACUACAAGUAUAUUACAUGUACGAUUUAAAACUGUUACAAUCAUUACUGUGAUAAAUAUAUAAUCGUUUCAACUUAAUCUAAGUAAUUAUACAUUUCAUGUUUGAUGCCUCUUUUUAUAGAAUAGAUAGAUGAUUAUGUAUAUAGUUUUUUUUUUUUAAACUUUUAUAUUAUGUUUAUAAAAUGAUGAUAAAUUCUUUUUAAUAAUAUUUGGAAAAAAAAAAGUAUUUAACCCAGCAAAAAAAUAAAAUAAAAGGCAAUUUAAUUUUUUUUUACAUCUCUUUAUUUUGGAAACACUUAUAAUUUUAAAGUUUCAAAAGUGUGCGUGCCAAAAUGGGGUUUACAACCUAAGUGGACAUGCGUUUAACUUUUAAUGAAUUCAAAUAUAAUUAAUUGGGCCAUGUAUUGGGCCGUAUAAUUAAUCAAUUCUCAAAGCCCGCGGCCCAUUGUGAAAGCAUCGAUUCCACCUCAUCUCUCUCCCCAUCCCUUUCUCCGCCGCUCACACUUUCGAAUUUACCUCUUAUACUUUAAAUGGAAUCGCCGGAGGAGGAGCGGAGGAUUUGGCUCAGCUACAAUCUACCAUGCGCGCCGAUUGAACUUACAUUCAGGUUUCGCUUCUUCCUUUAUACUUACGCAUCAACCUUUGUUUCCUCGCUGAUCUGUUUGGAUUCCUAAUACAUCGAAGGAAGCUUAGGAUGUGCGUGCGUUUGCAUUUCAAAUUGAAGUGUUUAUGAGUUUUUGUGAAUUGAUAGCGUAUACACAAGUAACUUGACGUUUCUCUUUGCAGAUAAAUACUAAUCCAGCUGCUGCUGCUGAAGCUACCGCCCUGUAGAUUCUUCAUUCUUGGUAAAAUUCCAGAGGAUUCUCAGGUGGCGUCUGCUAGGUUUCAGGCUGCUGCAGCUAUUAGGGAAUUGAGUUUUCUUUUUACUGAGGAUAAAGGUGGUUCGAUUAGGUGAGCAAACAUGCUUCGCAAUGUAGUAUUUUUAGGUUAAUGCCUUUCAGUGAGUCUUGGUUUGAUGAGCCAUCUCUAUGCUUUCGGGUUUUGCAGGCUUAAAUCCUCUCAGACUCAGUCCACACUCUCAAGCCUAUUCGAAUCUUAUUUUGCGAUGAAGCAUUGUUCACUAUUCUUGUCUCCCAAGUGGUAAGUAAGCACUCGGUAAAGCUGUGCUUACACUACUGUGUCUUACGAGUGAUUAGGUUUAUAACAAUGUCACUGCAACUGUUUUUGUGUAUGCAGGGACUCUAGUGAUGGUGAUGACCUGGAUGAAAGAAGGGCCAGUGAGGUAGCUGUAGGUGGUGGUGGAGUAACGCUCAAAGUCACCGCCAGAAUAUGGGAACCAGAAAAAAAAAAGGGAAAAGCUAGAGAUCUUCAAUGGUAUCUGAUCAUUCAAAUGAAGAUCUUGGAGACACCAAGAAAGAAAAGGAGUAGAUUAAGAAGAAAGGUGUGUUGCAUGAGAUGAAGAGUGAGUUACAAGAAAGGAUUAUGACCGGUCUUGUGGGUUAGCACCAGACUUUCCUAUUACAACAGAAGAGCUUAUUACCACAUUAUUAUCUAAUCAAGUUAAAGCCAUUGGGAGACUCAGAAAGCUUCUUACAAACUAAACUUCCACUAGGCACAUUCCCCGUGAAGGUAAAAUACUCUCUGUUACUGUCAAUUCUACGUUCUAUUCUGGUAUAACGAGUGUGCGGUUAAUGACUGACGUUCAUGUUUUUGCUCAGGCCAUUCGAGGAGGAAGGUAAUACAUCUUUGCCGCUGCAUUUUUUUAUUUAUGUAAAAAAUUGAUAAUCAGCUGACAUCUUGUUCUUUCCAUCUACAAGUGUUAAGCAGGUGAAGUUUUAUGACGAUGAUGUGCGUUACUGGCAACUGUGGCGCAAACGCUCUGCAGCUGCUCAAUCUCCAUCUGCUGUCAAUCUUCUCACGUCCGGUUUCACCUCUCUGGUAAGUUCAUUGCCCUUUCUCUAAUUUUGGAUCAUGGUUUGUUUGACAUAUUGAAUCCUGGAAAGACCUCCUUAGUUACUAGUGCUGGAAAUGUGUAGACUAUGACAAGUUAAUAUCUGUGUGUGUGUGUUCAAACAGGCUUCUACUUUUCCGAAUUAUUCUGCUCCAACGUUCCUCCUUUCUUUGCAGCAGGGAGUUCCUUUCAAGAUCAUCUGGUAAUGAUGGCCCUUGAGUUGCAUUUGGUUCAAUUGACGGUGUCAUUAGGGUUCCAAAAUUGAAUGUUUAUUUUGUUUUUUUCUGCUGAUUUUAAGGUUAGAGCUAUAGGUGCUGAUCUGUGUUAAUUUUCCUGAAUGUUUACCGUCUUGUAGCUUGCACGUAGAUAUACAGGUGGCCGUAAAUGAUCAAUUUAUUGCUUGAUUAAUUUCAUGGCAUCAUCUGGCGAGGUAACUACAUAUUCUCUCAACUUCCCAUUCUUUAGUUUAGAGAAAACAUACGCAAGGUCACCUGCUAUGCUUGACUGACAUGUUAAAAAAACGGUAUAUUGGAACAUUUUCUUUUCGUUUCGUUUCUUAACAUCGAUUUCUAUUAAGUGAGGAGUCAUACAAUUUAAAGAUCUACCCUUACUUUGACAUAUGAUAAAUUACUCAAUAGAAGUUCAUUUGUCUUUCAUAAUAUGUUUGGGAUAACUUUCAUGCACAGCGUAUCAUUGCGAGCGGAAGGAAUUUAAAAAUGGGCAUCUAUUUUCUAAAUACUCUACAUUCAUUUAAUAUCCUGAUUAGGUUUUAGUUCUACUAGUGACUGCCUUUUCCAUUUUUCUUAUAAUUGAACGAUUUUUAAGCAACGAUUACCAACUAUUUUCUCUCUGUUAUUCAUAUUCAAUACAUGAUACCAGCCAUUCUCUAUCUACUUGCAAUUGCUAUUCAUGCAGCCCGUGGGAGUCAGAGAAGGCUGAUUUGUACGAGAGGCAGACAUACUACAGAGAUAAGAGGAUAUCACGUUACAGAGGAGAAGUAACAAGCACACAGCAAAAGUCACUUGUGCCAGAUAAGAAGGGGUGGCUUGUGGAAGAGGUCAUGACUCUCCACGGAGACUAUUUCAAUCUCCAUCUUAGAUACCAGAUGGAAGAAGUGGCAGCGUCAAAACCAAAUACAACUUAUGUGCGAGUAUACUUUGGGAUUGAAUGGCUAAAGAGCAGUAGACAUCAGAAAAGAGUGACAAAGAAGGAAUAUAGCAGCAGACAACAGCAGAAGCAUGUAGUAUAAUAUAUAUAUAUAGACUUUGGUCUGAGAAAUGGAGGAGGGCCAUUGUAGCGCUCAAGCUCAAAGCAACCCUUAUUCUUCUUUACGUCAUAUAAAUAGCUGACGUGUUGUUUGUAGAGUUUUUUUUUUUUUUUUGUGAUUAUUGUGGUGAUGCUCUGCCUUCGAAAGUGAUCAAAAUUGUAGUCACCUCGUGUGUUUGUUGUUCAAUGCUAGGGCUUCUUGUAAUUUUAUCUGGGCCUAUCUUGUAAUAACCCAAUCUUGUAAUAACCCAAUACCAGAUUGUAUUGCCCAUUGGGCCAGUUUCUAAUGAAACAAUGUUGACAAAAAAAAAAGGUGCUAGGGUUAAUGGUGGUCUAGUAUUUCAAAUUUGGAACUUUAGCUCCUCUUUCUCCACCUCCAUUUGAAUUUCAUCGCCAUGAUUCACAGAUCCUCUCCACCUCUAUCUUUAAAAUUCUUCGAGAUGGGAUCAGCUCACAGCCAGGACGAUCUAAAGAUCUGUGAAUCAGACGAGGAAGAAGAAGAGUUGGUGGACGUUACCUUUGGUGAUCGUCGUCUAAAAUCUCCUUCAUCACUAGACGAAGUUGAAUCAAAGCUCAGAGCCUUGAAGCUGAAAUACCCAUCAACGGAGCAAGCACCUCCGAACUGCUCGGUUGAUCUUUUGCGCUACAUCAAUGGAAACACUCCCAAAGCCAAAUGGGUCGCAGCUGAAAAUUCCACCUCUUACUGCUUCGUCAAGUCAUCCCCAGAAGACGGAGGAGGAGAUUCAGAGAAGGAAUGGUGGGUUCUGAAGGUCGGGAGUAAGAUCCGAGAGAAGGUCUCCAAUGAAAUGCGAUUGAAGGCAUAUAAAGAUCAAAGAGUUGAAUUCGUUGCUAAUGGUGGAUACUGGGCGUUGCGCUUCACCAGCAGAGGAGAAGACCUCACCACCGCCUUUGUAAGCAGCUUUAACAGUUGCUUGUUUGAGAACAAUCAUGGUGUUGAGUUGAACGAAGCCGGUUUAGCUAGCAUCUUUGAGGAAGAUUUCAUUGGGUGGGCCAAUCCUGAAGCUGCUGAUGAUUCCAUAUGGGAAGAAGCUGAUGAUAUUUUGCUUAAGAGCCCACAAUCCGCAACUCCACUGGACCUUACUAAGGCUUUUGAGGAAGCUGCUACGACAAGGAGUGAGGAGGGCAUACAUAGCUUAGCUCUAGGUGCUUUGGAUCAUAGCUUUCUUGUGGGUGAUUCUGGUAUUCAGGUUUUCAAGAACAUGAGGCAAGGGGUGCAUGGGACAGGUGUUUCUGUUAACUUUGAGGCUGCUUACGGCUCAGCACGAAAGAAUAAGAAGGCUCUUCUCAUGAGAGCUGAGACCAACUUGUUGCUCAUGAGUCAACAAGCCCCAGGAAUCCAUCAGCUUGAUAUUGAAACUGGCAAGGUUAUUUCCGAAUGGAAGUUUGAGAAAGAUGGAGUGGACAUCUCUAUGAGUGACAUUACUAAUGAUGGUAAAGCUGCUCAAUUAGACCCGUCUGGAUCUACCUUUCUUGGUUUGGACAGGAAUAGGCUUUGCCGAUGGGAUAUGCGUGACCCAUAUGGGGUGGUUCAGGAUCUCUCUACUGCGAAUAAUGCCCCCAUAGUCUUGACUUGGGCUCAGGGGCAUCAGUUUUCUAGAGGGACUGAGUUCAAUUGCUUUGCAACUACUGGUGAUGGCUCACUUGUUGCUGGCCUUUUAUCAGGACAGAUUAGACUCUACUCAAAAGGGGGCACUAUGAGGAAGGCUAUGACGGCUUUCCCUGGACUUGGUGCGCCUGUGACUCAUGUGGACGCUACUUACGAUGGGAAAUGGAUAGUUGGUACAACUGAUACAUAUCUGAUUGUUAUCUCUACCCUUUUCACUGAUAAGGCUGGUAAGACAAAGACUGGCUUUGAGGGUUCCAUGGGAAAUAAGAUGGCUGCACCAAGGUUGCUGAAGCUAACACCUCUCCACGCCCAUUUAGCUGGAUCCAACAACAAGUUCCGCAAUGCCCAGUUUUCAUGGGUAAGCAAAACUCUAGUUGUAGUUUCCCAACAUUUGCCUCUAGGAUAGAACUUGUCUUGUCUUUUUUCAGUUUGUCCCACGGUUUUCAAAUUACAUACAGGUUAUAGUGUUCUUCUGUUGCCUGGUGUUUCUGAUUAUUUAGUCCAUCUUAAGUUUAUGAUCCUUUGGUGGUGGGCUGAAGAAAUGCUAUUGCUACAAGAUAGUCCCUCGAAAUGAAUCUAUUGUGGACAGCCGUUUCAUGAACGACAACUCUGCAGUCUCUGGUUCACCUGAAGCGCCUCUGGUCAUUGCAACUCCCAUGAAAGUCAGCUCUUUCAGCUUAUCCAGCAAGAGAGGAAGGAAGCAAGCAAGUGCUUGACCAUUAGUUUAUAAAAAUUAUUAUAAUUGUAACUUGGUAUAAAAAAGUGUUUGUUGCUAAUUAUUAAUCAUGUAAUACAAAAAAUAUAUAAUAUAUUAAAAUAAUGGACAAUAUAAAUGAGAUAACUAAAAAAAUCAGUUUUUUUUUUAAAUACAUAUAAUGCUUAUGACACCAAAUGCCAAAUAGCUAAAAGAUAUAAAUGGAGUAUAUCUUAAAGAAAUAUAUAUAUAUAUAAUAAGAGCCUAUUCAAAAAGAAAAUAAAUAUAUCACAUAGAACUGUUUGCCAAUAGGAGAUUGGUUAAUGGAAGAUUAUCUCAAGGCAAAUAUAUGCAAAAAAACAUAUAUAAACAACUAGAAUGAAUUUUAAAAUAUGGAUUACAUAUUCUUAAGAAUUAAAUCCAAUUAUAAAAUAUUGUCAAAGACUAAAUUACAUUAUUUUAUAAUUUUCGAAUUUUUUAUUUAUUAAAUUUACACUUAAUUAAAAUAUUAUAUUUUAUUAGUUAGAGUGUAUGUUAUAAAAUCACCUAGUAGUGUUUUGCUAACCUCACUUUUUAAAAGAUAAAAACUCUUCUAUGUUCCUGUCACAUUUGCAAUACAAAACUAACGUUAACAAACAUAAGGAAAAUGAUUAAUAUUAAACCAAAAUUUAAAAUUAUGUGAUAUAGAAAAAUAUUAAAUCAAAUAAAAAAUAAAAUAGAAACAUCUUUAAUAAACGACAAAUAUAACAACUGAAAUAUACAAUCCGCGCAUAUCGCCGAAAAAUCUCUAGUUAUGUUCUAAACCCCAAAUUUUUAUAUAAUAUGUUUUUUUUUCCUUUUUUGUAAAUAUGAUUUCAUUUUCUAUUAUAUAAAUAUUUCUUUUUUAUUAUAUAUGUUACUGAAAAAGUUUAGAAAAAGAAACUAAAUUUAAAUUUUUAAUUGACAUAAGUUAUUAUAUGAAAAUUUGGGGUUGUGAUUAUUUAUGAUUCCUCGGUGGAGAUAUGUUGCUGGGGAUCUGCUUGUUCAUUUGAAAGGUACCUCUGAAAACGGCGAGCUUGUGUUCGCAACACAAUCGGUUCUGAGUGACUAAUCACAUUACUACAACGCAGAGACUCAACACCUGAGGAAGCUUAAGAUAGAGGGAUGUUCACAUGGAGAUGUUGAGACCUACCUUGAUCACUAUGAUUCUCUCUUGCUUUCUUGAGCUAGUCUUUCCAUGUUCAUUGUGUUACAGGAUUUAUCAAUUUCGGUUAAGUUAUUAAAUAUUUUUUAAUAAUGAUAAUUAUGUAUGAUAUUUUAAUUCAUUAAGGUAGUUUUGAAAUUAAUCAUUGUAAAAAUUAACGUGAGUGCAAUACGUAAAAAACUCACUUUCUCAAAUAACAUUAUAGAGAUUUUACCAAGGUCAAUAUAUAAUAAAAUUUUGAUCAAAAUAAGAUUUUACCAAGGUCAAUAUAUAAUAAAAUUUUGAGCAAAAUAAAUUUUAAGGAUUCUAAUUAUUGAUGCAUGGCUAUAUCUCAUUUACCGUAAUUUUGGAUCUAGUGCAGAAGAACGAGGGUUAUCCUUCAGGGUCAAUGGUUGAUUUUGCAUGUGAUACUGAUGAUUCUCCAAUUAUGGCAUUCAUUAGCUCCUCGAUCCACUCACUAAAAAGUUUGGGAAAAAGUUCGGGAAAAUCAAGAUUCAGAAGAAAUGCAGUGUGUAUAUCACAUGGUAUAGAGAUUAAAUAAAAAAGAAUGGCGUGAAAAUGACGGACAAAAUGGUAUGGGAGUUAGAGAAGGAGCGUAAUAACAACAUGGUUCACACUAUCAAGUAGUCUUACACGUAGUUGACAUGAUGUUACCUGUUUAAAACUAGUGUUUAUGUUAUCUUAUAUGGUUAAGCUGUCGAGUCUAAAUCAAGACUUUGUGGUGGUUUGUUGAGUCAAUAUUUAGCUGUUGUUAUGUGUUAUUCAAGUUAAAUCAAGAUUUUGUGAAAGAGUAUGUAGUUUCUGAAUCUUUUCAUCCAUUCUUUUCAAUCUAGUAUUUGUUAAGUAUUCAAGUUAAUAUAAAUUUAGAAUAUCUACAUGAGCAUAUAUAUAUGAGAUGAAAAUAAAUCAUGAUCAAAUUAAGUGCUUACGAUUGAGCUAAAGAAUUCCAAACAUCCCAAAGGCUAGGACCAAGCAUGUCCAUGACCUGGAAAUAAUAUAAAUAGUUCUUAAUGAAAAAUACCUUAUUAAUCUAAACGUGUAACGAGGCUCUCGUACUAAAAGCUUACCAGGAUGUAAAAAUCUCCCCCUUAUGAUGCACAUCAGGAAUUCCAUAACAGCUAUUGAGCGUACUUUACAGCAGAUAAAAAAAGGAGAAAGAAGAGAUAAGUGGAGACAAAUAAGAAGAAGAGAAAAUUUAGAGAAUGCGAGUCUUACUUGUACACUUGCCACUCGUAAGGUGGGCCAAAAUUGCAUCCUUUACUAUUUCGGUGUUCAAGUUUCAGAGCUACCUGAACAGGUUUUCAAAAUAUCACACUUUUGGUCUAACACCCAUGAUUUUGAAAAGGUUUUUUCUACUAAUACCUCAAUUGCAUCUGCUCCAAUCCUACCACUGCCACCACUCACCCUCCUGCCAACAUAAACUUGACCAAGUCCACCCUUACCGAGUUUCCUCUCCGUCUUAUAAACAGGAGAAUUUCCAACUUGUUAUAUAUAUAUAUAUAUAUAUAUAUAAACGUUAUACAUUUUACAAUAAAUAUAAUAACAAAACUAAUUAUGAAAAAUGUUCAACAUAAAUGUUAUCUAAAGAAAAAUGUCUAACACUAAUUGUUAACAAAAAAACUAAACCGAUUUUAAUAUAAAUUAAUUAACAAAAUAAAGUACACAAAAUAAUUAUAAUAAAAUUAAUUAAGGGAGAAAUAUGAUCAAGACAUAUUUAGAGUUCUUAAUUAUUUUAUAGUUAUCAUUUUCUCUAUCAGAGUUACGUAGAAACGUCAUAAUUUCAUAAAAAUUGUAAAACAAUGAACUUUAAAAUUUGGAUUAAAAAGUGACAAAUUAUGAAACUAUAACAAUUUAAAAUCAAAUUGAAUUACAUAUUGAUAAUCCAUCGGUUCAAUUGGUUAGUUUCGGUUUUAAUAUUUUUUAAAAUAUGGAUACUUUUAAAAGCCUAAAUCGAAUUAUCAGAUACCGCAGAUUCGGAUCGAAUUUAAAAGCAUGGAUUUAAAUGAAAAAAUAUUUUAAAUACACAAAAUUCUUAAAAAAAAAAAAAUAAUUUUGAACCAACAUAUUCAGAACCCAUAGUUGUUUUCCUCUGAAUAAGAAUAUAUCCAAUUCGAGAUGACACUUACAUUGUUCUUCUGUUUAGUAGGAUUUGACAAUAUUAGAAAAUCAAACAGCUGUUUUGGCUGUGAUGGAUGAUAAAUAAAAAUAAAUAACUUGAGACCAAAAGAUUAAAGCCUUUUCUCCGAUUUAUAUGUUCAUUAAAACAAUAAGGUAUUAAACAAUAUGCUCUUCAAUUCUAUUAAUAAUAAUGUAUCUCAUCUGUUUUAUUUUUCAUGUUACUUUUAUCUUGUACUUGCUACAUACAUACAAGAGAGAAGUUUCAUUUCAAUACACAUAAGGUUGGCUCCUGGUUGAGGUUUUACCUUUGGAUUGUACUGAAACUAAAGCUUCACGUAGUAAUAAGGCUUCAUAGAGAAAAUCAUCCCUGAAACCUAUAGCAAGGGCGAGAGUAGACUCGGCGUUUACUCAACAAACGGUCCGACCAUAGCAUAUUGAUGCAAUGUACAGAUUUUUCGCCCAUUUGUCCUGAAAGUUAGAAGUAAAAGAUUCAAGUCAGUACAUAGAACAAACCAAUGGGGGGGAAAGAACCCAACGUUAGUUUUUUUAUGUGUUUUUGUUUAUUGUAAAGAGUUAUAUGGCUAAGAACAAACCUUGACAUGGGUGCUUGGGAAAGCAGAAGUGCGAAGAGUCUCUUGGGUUUCAUCGGUUAUUUUUCGUUUAGGUAUGCUCAAUAUAAGAGCUGCUUGAUCUGCCGUUGCAGCCAUUGAUGUUAUCCUGAAUCCACUCUCCCAUCUUCUAUGGAUUCCUUCACUUGGGUACAAAAAGUCCAGCUCCACAACCUUAUUAACAUAAACACCAUUAAUACAUUAUACCGCUUCAGAAAAAAAGAAAGUGCCUCAGGGGUUAUAAAGAGAUUGGAACCUGUUCGGAAUAGCCUGAGUUUCUGGACAUUACUAUACCCCAACGACUCCCAGCAGUGGUCAUGGAGGUUACAUGAAACCCUUCUUUCCACUUUUUGUUUAUCCAUUUGAAUGGGAAUGAGUCGCUGACUUUGUAAGAUUGCUGGGUAUAUGGAGUUCCUAUCACAUUUACAUGAAGUAGAAUUAAGUAAAACGGAUUCAUGUCCCAUAAGGAACACUAAGACACCAGGUAUGGAUACCAACCUUUUGACAUAACGACCAACGAGCUCCCGUUAUUAGCACCAGCUAUGGAACUGAUAUAGUAGUUCUUUUCCCAUUGUUCCAUGAUCCAGUCCUGCGACACAAACAGUUAGGUGGUGGAUUCAGAGCAUAGGUCUUAAAGAUUAAUGCUAUUUACCUUGUGCAAGAAGACUGUGGACAAUUCAUACACUUGAGAGCUGAACCCAGUCCCAGCAUCCAUGAUAAGGGCCCAGAGAUUAGCUGCUGAUGCUACACAGCUGAUGUAAAGGCCAUCCUCGUUACCUUUCUCCACAUGCUGAGGCAGCCUUGUCUCCGCAACAUUGUAAUGAUAUCUACCAAAGAAGGAACUCAAUUAACGAAGCUUUCAAAAACCUUUAUACUCCAGAUAUGAGUGAUGAGCAAUCACUCAAAUGUGUAGUAGUUACCUCUGUUUCAUAGGACGACGUGCAUUAUAGACUGAAAUCCACUGAGUAGCAGGACUGCCGAUUCUGAUUUUCUUCCUCGGCUGUUCAUCCUCUUCCAAAUUGAUAAGCAAUCUUCCUCGUUUUUGGCCAACCUAUUCAUCCAAAAGCAAACGUGAUAAAAUACUUAACAAUAGUGAUAAUAAGCAUAGGAGCCAAAGAAAGCCCCACCUUCAGAGCCCCAUCAAUUCUAAUCGGUCUAGAUACAGCACACGGCUCGAUGAGAGAAUCAAAAAUCGAGAUAAGCUUGGCGUAGUUAGGCUCCUCGUCAAACUUCAUGUUGGUAACUACCUCGAGGAAAAGCUUGAACGGGGGAGGACAGAAACAGCACAUCAGUUCAGGAGAUGUUGACAUCUUUUUCUUGCACACAAGAAAGCUCUUGUUGUCACCCUGCGUACAAAGACCAUAUAAAAUUGAGUAGAACUGAAACUUCAAAGGCUUUUUGGUUGUGAACAUAGCGAUAGAAAACUCACCUGGUACCCUUGCCAUGGCAACCUCCCCCGCAUCAAAAAUAUUAAUGUAUAGGCCAAUGAUUCCAGAUCAUCCCUCCGACUUCCGGUACGACCAAGAUGUGCAUGACAACUUGCAUACCGUAUCGUUCCCCUGAAUUUGAAGUAAAAUAUAGAUGUAAGCAAUAUGAAUUUGUGUGUACAAAACAAGUAGGAGGCAAUACCUGAAUACAUCAGGUCUUUGAUCAUAUUCAACAUGCGGGCCAGAGUGUGAAUCUUUCCAUCUUGAUGCUGAAAUAAAUGAUUAUAUAUGUUAAUAACGAUUACAAAUAUUUCACAAAACAUAUCAAGAUGUUUGUAAGCAUAUUGCAGAAACUCACCUAGACCAAGAUCGAUAAGGUAUAGUUUCUUCUCGUCUGCUGUUCCAGGCUGACCAAGUAAAAAGUUUUCUGGUUUCACAUCUCCAUGCACAAACCUUGUUUGAUGUAGGGAUUCAACAUGGCAUGACAGUCAGCUCAACGGUAGUAACUGUAAGGAAUUCUUUGGAAACAACAAAAAAAUCACACUAACCCCUUCAUAUGCAGUUUCUCAAGAAUAGAUAUCGCUUCCACUGCAAUGCACGCUACCAUGUUUGGUGACAUCCUACACAUACGACAAUAAAUUCAGAAUAUCUAAUGAAAAUAAAUCAUGAUCAAAGUGCUUACGAUUGAGCUAAAGAAUUCCAAACAUCCCAAAGGCUAGGACCAAGCAUGUCCAUGACCUGAAAAUAAUAUAAAUAGUUCUUAAUGAUAUAGUUUGAGUUUCUUGAUUGUAUAUGCAAGAUCACAAUAAUAAGAAUUUGCUCUCUUAUUAAUCUUAAGGAAAAUCCUCUCAAAACCUUAAGCUCACUCUAACAAUCUCAAAACUCUUAAGAGAUGCAACAACUCUGCAACUCCUAUUUAUAAGAAUAGAUAUCUCCUAAUCUUACUAGUAAAGCUUAUCUAUAGAUAUUUCCUAAUCCUCUUAGUAAACCAUAUCUCGGUGGGAUUAGGAUAACUUAUUCUCUAAGAUAAUUCAAGCUUACUCCAACAAAUGAAAGAUACUUUAUUAAUCUCAACGUGUAACGAGGCUCUCGUACUAAAAGCUUACCAGGAUAUAAAAAUCUCCUUGACGACCCUUAUGAUGCACAUCAGGAAUUCCAUAACAGCUAUUGAGCGUACUUUACAGCAGAUAAAAAAAGGAGAAAGAAGAGAUAAGUGGAGACAAAUAAGAAGAAGAGAAAAUUUAGAGAAUGCGAGUCUUACUUGUACACUUGCCACUCGUAAGGUGGGCCAAAGUUGCAUCCUUUACUAUUUCUGUGUUCAAGUUUCAGAGCUACCUGAGCAGGAAAAGAAAAAAAAAAGUUUUAAGAAUAUCACACUUUUGGUCUAACACCCAUGAUUUUAAACAGGCUAUUUUUUCUACUAUACCUCAAUUGCAUCAGCUCCAAUCCUGUCACUGCCACCACUCACCCUUCUGCCAACAUAAACUUGACCAAAGCCACCCUUACCGAGUUUCCUCUCCGUCUUAUAAACAGGAGAGUUUCCAACUUGUACCUAUACAAAAAAAAACAAAGUCAGUAAAUUAAUUAGCAUAGCUAGCAAACCACAUACCAACAAAAGAUCUAAAGAGUUCCAAGAUGAUGAAUGAAGGUGAAAAAAAAAACAAUAUAAUGAACUGAAAAACAUAUGAUGUCACAAGGUUAACAGAAGUUACCCUUUCAGGGACAGGACCCAUACUGGAAUCUUCUUCCAUGCCUGCUAUUUUCUCUGGACUGCCGCCUUCAGCAGCAAGAUCCUUAUCAGCUGCCCCUAAGACACCAGCAGCUGGAAGAACCUCACAAGGCUCAGCCUCCAAGUCAGUCAACCUGAUACCCCUCCCUUUAGCUAAAGCAGCAUUCCCUCUUCCUCUACCACCACCUCUUCUCCUUGUUGUAGCAGUCUGAGGAGGAGGAGGAGGAAGUAGGAUGUUUUGAAGUAGCUGAGGGUUAGGCUGAUGAUCUUCAAUGCGUCUCGAUCUCCUAGCUCCACUUCUUAACUCUCGCAUUCUUACUCCAUGUCACAAAAAUCUUAUUUUUUUCUGUCAUUAAAAGAAAAAGAAGAGUUGUGUAAAUAAACACUUCAUCAGAUGUUACAAUCUACAAACAAAAGAUGGACCAACACAAAAUCCACAGACAUAUAUACAAAACUUAACAUAGAUUCGAGGAGAAGCUAACUGUAACACAAUUUGAUCAGUAUCAUAAAAAUAAGCUCGAUCAUCUUCCAAAGUCACGAUCUUUCGAAUCGAAGAUGCCAAAAGUCUAUUUUACCAGAAGAUCGAUUCUAGAUUAGAUUAUACUUCGAUUGAUAAAGACGAUGAAGAGAGUGGAAUAGGAUCGAUCCAGAACAAACAAAAGAAGAACUUUCAGAUCUCCUCCUCGAGUUUUAAAAAGUGAGAAACCGAUUGAUUAGCUUCCUUCUCAAUCAAUCCUGGAGUGACGAUUUUGAAUGUGAGAAAGAAAACUUCUGAGCUGUUAUGAAGUGAGACAGGUAGAGAGAGAGAGAGAGAGAGAGAGAGAGAGAGGUGGUUGCCUUGCCGCUAGAUUUAGUUAGGGGCUGUUAAUAAUGAAGAAGAAGACGAUUGAUGAAUUUUUGGUUUAAAAAUACGGUAACUACAUGAGGAGCCUUAACCGGGUUCCUGAACCGGCUUGAACCCAUUUUGACUUCCUUAACCAAAAAAAAACAAUACAACUUCUUUAGCAAUUAGCAUAAUACAAGUGGUAUACAAUACAUCCUUCUAACAAAAUCACCACAAUCUCAAUCUUGCUUACGGUUUUAAACCGUGUGUACGUACGUACAUGUUACAAACAUCAUCAAGAUCAAUGCAUAUGCUUAAACAAAAUUGAUAUUCAUGAUAAUUACUCUUAAGCAAAAAAACAUGAGGGACAUACAUAAGUUUGUAUGUAGUGUUUUAAGUAAAAAAAUCAUAAUUCAUAUGUACUAAUAAGUUUAGUGGCAAAUUAGCAAAUCCUUUUUUUAUUUUAAUUUAUUACAAAAGGACCUCUUAACAAAAAAGGCAAAUCAACGUCGGUUUCAAAAUCUAGUGCGAGGAAAAAACUGCCCAUUAAGGAGAGAAAGAGCCUUAUCUUGUUUGGUUUGGUUUGCAUUUUGUCGCCUUAUGUUUAAGGAAGAAGACGAAGAAUCCAAACAAAAGAAGUGAACUUUCUUUCUAAAAACCCACAAGGCUCUCUCUGGGUUUUUCGAGGUUGCGUUUUGCUUCAUCUCCCGAUAGCUAUCAGACGUUUUCUCUAAGGCUUUUACUGCUUUAAAGCUUUUACCUUUUCGUUUUGUUGAUACUCUCGAAAUGGCUGGAGCCUCCUCUUCUUCUGAUAGCUUCCCUCUUCUUGGUAUGUUCAUUUUUCACUCAAAGACAACUCUUUUUUUCUUUCAUCAUAGAACUUGUCUUAAGCUAUUGAUUUUUGUAUCAUUGGAUUGUUUGUUUGGAACUAUUGAUUUUGAUGAUGGGGAUUGUAUUGUCAUCAGCACCUUUCAUAGCUUGUCUUUUUGGAUUGAUUGGUGUCCACUGAUGAUAAAAGAAAAUAUAUGUUUCUUUUUUUUUGCUCCUUAUAUACUGACUUGGCUCUUGUAUCUAAUGAUCGGUGCAGAAACAUCAGAUUGGUUCCAGGAGUUGUCUUUAGGUUCUGAUGCAAGUGAAGUCCCUAGGAACCAUUAUAAGGUACUACCUUGCUGCUGUUUUGAUGCUUAUUUAAUGCAAUAAUUGCAUAUAAGGGUGAGUUUAUUUUUUUUUGUUGUUCACUGACCUGACUGUGUUUUGUGAGAAGGGUUCUCUUCAGAACCAGUAUGGACGUGUACCUUCUGGUGCGUAUACUGCUCCAUCUUCUCAUGGAAACGAGAGAAGGCCUAGCAUGAAUGGUGGAGAGCCGUUUGGUUCAUACCCUUGGGGUUACCAUACUUCUGGUGGCUACCAGGAUCAGAGUUUUGGUUAUGGCCACAACAACAAUUCAAAUACCUUUUCACAUCUCAUGAUGGUAUGUUGUUUCUGUUUCAUCUCACCUUACAAAUCUUGUAGAAUGUAUGUUUUGUUCCCUUCUUCCUUUAGGUUGAGGCAAUGUUCUUUCUUACUUACAGGAUCCACACAAUUCAAGUUUUGACCAGUUUGGAUACAAUGAUCAUUUGUAUUCAAACCAUGGAUUGUAUGGACUUUACGGUAACGUAAUCGACUCAGGUCAUGCUUAUGGAACGUUUGGUUAUGACUCGUGGAAGCUCGGGAGAGGAUGGUAUCCUGUUGAUGGCUAUAGAAAGACCAGAAGCUUCAACUACGGACGUGGCUACAACGAAGAGAAAGCAGAUAGGCUUAAUGAGCUUUGUAGAGGACCAAGAAGCAGUGAUGUUAAAAAGCAAGACGCUCCAGUGGUGGAUCUCCAUCGCUACAACGGAGAGAACUUCCCUGAAACAUUCACCAAAGAGAAGUUCUUUGUGAUUAAGUCAUACAGCGAAGACGAUGUUCACAACAGUAUCAAGCAUGGCGUGUGGUCCAGCACGCCAACAGGCAACAAGAAGUUAACCGCUGCGUAUUACGAGAGUUCUCAAGAGUGUUGUCCUGUGUAUCUUCUCUUCUCGGUUAGUAACGAGGAGAGUUCAUUCAUGCUAAUGUGUUAUUCUCUGUUGAUUGGUUUUUAUCUUGCAGGUGAAUGCAAGUGGGCAGUUUGUUGGUGUUGCGGAGAUGACAGGUCCUGUUGAUUUCAACAAGACGGUGGAGUAUUGGCAGCAAGAUAAAUGGAUUGGUUGCUUCCCUGUGAAGUGGCAUAUCAUCAAAGACGUACCAAACAGUUUCUUGAGGCACGUAACGAUUGCUAAUAACGAGAACAAGCCCGUUACUAAUAGCAGAGACACUCAAGAGGUUUUGCUGAACUUCCCUUAAACCCUUCUUAGACCAUUUUAAAAAAACUGUAACGGUCAUGGUUUGGUUGCAGGUGAAUGUGGAAGAUGGAGCCAAAAUCAUAAAGAUAUUCAAGGAGUAUAUGAGCAAGACAUGUAUACUUGAUGAUUUCAAGUUUUAUGAGACGAGACAAAAGAUGAUCAGAGAUAAGAGGAUCAAGCAAAAGAAACAGGUUACACACUUCUUUCAACCUUUGCUUCAACAUGUGGUUGUGGAUUCUGAUUUGUUUUCUUUAUACAGGUCCUUGAUGGAGCUUCUGUAGAAACGAUUCACUGAAAUAGAUGAGAGAAAAGAUGAUGACUUUUUAACUAAAGAACACUUAGUUUGGAUUGUGUUUGUUUUUUUUCAGGCUUUGGAUUCCUGAGAACCUUAAUAUAUAGGUUCUAUGCUUUUCAAAACUUAUUACAUUGUGUUUUGUUCCUUCUGUAUAAAGGACGCACCAUCUGAUAAAACCAAACUCAACUCAUUAUGAUUUGUUCUUCUCAAGAGUUCACAUGAGAGCAUUGAUUAGGUUCUUUGUGUUUAUUUAUCUGUUUACAGUUAGAGAAAACCAAAGUUCAAUGUAAAUAUACUAGAUUCCUACAUGAACUUACCAAACGACGGCGUUUCUGAGUCUAACCGGCUAACCGCUACGAAGAAUCUUUGUCCCCAAUUAAAUUUCUAUCUCAGUCCCUAGACUUUUGUGUAAAUCUAGUUUCAUCCCUCAAAAUUAAAGAUUGUCGCAUCGACCCAAUUGGCUAAAACGUGGCAGAACCGCCGUAGAAGCUCCGAAACGACGUUGUUUAAGAGUACAAAAAGGUAUUUCAAAAUAGGUUACUCUCACACACAAGAGCCAAAGCCUUCUCUCCUCCCUUAAACAGCAGCAAACUAUAAACAACAGUGACGGCAAGAGCUAGUAGGCGUACAGAUCGUCACCGUAGAAUACGAUGCAGCCUUAUGGAAUCCAGUCGAUGCUCAAGGAAGGUUACAGACAUCUCUCUGGUCUAGACGAGGCCGUCAUAAAAAACAUCGAAGCUUGCAAGGAGCUCUCCACCAUCACCCGCACUUCUCUCGGCCCCAAUGGUAUUCUUUCCUGGAUCUAAUACUCUCGAUUGAAAUGAUUCCAUUACAGCGUUUUUGUUUAACUGUUCUAAGUAGGAUCUUUAGUGUAAAAAACAACACUUGUUUUCAGUUCUGUCGGAAUCUGAAUGUCUUCUGUCUCAUUUCUGUCGCAAUCUGAAUGUCUUCUCUGUUUCAUUUUCGCAAUGUUUCGGGAUCUUUAGUGUAAAAACAACACUUGUGUCAGUUCUGUCGGAAUCUGAAUGUCUUCUGUUUCAGUUCUGUCGGGUCUGAUGUCUUCCCUGUUUCAUUUUCGUAAUGUUUCUGGAUCUUUAGUGUAAAAACAACACUUGUUUCAGUUAUGUCGGAAUCUGAAUGUCUUCUGUUUCAGUUCUGUCGGAAUCUGAUGUCUUCUCUGUUUCAUUUUCGUAAUGUUUCUGGAUCCUUAGUGUAAAACAACACUUGUUUCAGUUCUGUCGGAAUCUGAAUGUCUUCUGUCUCAUUUCUCUCGAAUCUGAUGUCUUCUCUGUUUCAUUUUCGCAAUGUUUCGGGAUCUUUAGUGUAAAACAAGUAAACAACACUUGUUUCAGUUCUGUCGGAAUCUGAAUGUCUUCAACUGUUCUAAGUAGGAUCUUUAGUGUUAAACAGCACUUGUUUCAUUUAUGUCGGAAUCUGAUGUAUUAUGUUGGAAUCUGAAGUCUGUCUUUGUUUUUUUUUUGAUGUUUCAGGUAUGAACAAGAUGGUUAUUAACCAUUUAGACAAGCUCUUUGUCACAAACGACGCUGGUACCAUUGUGAACGAGCUGGAGAUUCAGCAUCCUGCCGCGAAAAUCCUUGUCUUAGCAGCCAAGGCUCAGCAAGAAGAGAUCGGAGACGGAGCCAAUCUGACAAUCUCCUUCGCUGGUGAGCUUUUGCAAAAUGCUGGAGAGCUUAUCAGGGCGGGACUGCACCCGAGUGAUAUCAUUACUGGAUAUAACAAAGCAAUCACUAAGGUUGGUGAAAUUUAAAUUUUUUUUUCUUGGUCGUGUAAUUGAAAUGCUAUUGGCUUACUAUGUUCAGGCUGUUGAGAUUCUUGAACAACUGGUUGAGAGUGGUUCUGAGACAAUGGAUGUGCGUAACAAAGAUGAAGUGGUGUUUAGGAUGAGAGCUGCUGUUGCUAGCAAGCAGUUUGGUCAAGAAGAGAUCAUAUGCUCUCUCGUUGCUGAUGUGAGUGUUCCUGUUUCGUUCUCCAGUUUGUAUCUUUUUUUAUAUUGUUUUUAGCUGAUGGGUGUACUUGUUUUUUUUUUACAGGCGUGCAUUCAAGUAUGCCCAAAAAAUCCAACAAACUUCAAUGUAGACAACGUCCGUGUUGCCAAGCUCUUGGGAGGAGGGUUGCACAACUCUUGCAUAGUCCGUGGAAUGGUCUUGAAAAGCGACGCUGUGGGUAGCAUCAAGCGAAUGGAGAAGGCAAAGGUGAGAUCACUUUCUUUUGUGCUUUGAUAGCUUAAUGUCCCUGAACACUUUUUGUUAUACUUUCUUCAGGUUGCGGUGUUUGCUGGGGGAGUUGAUACUACUGCAACAGAGACAAAAGGAACUGUGUUGAUCCAUAGUGCUGAGCAGGUUUGUUUUUUAAGGAUGACUAAUAUAUUUUCUGAAGGAUGGUUGUAUUUUAACACAUUUGUUUCUUGGUUUUAUAGCUAGAGAACUAUGCAAAGACAGAGGAGGCUAAAGUUGAGGAGCUGAUUAAAGCUGUAGCUGAAUCAGGAGCCAAAGUGAUUGUUAGUGGGGGGUCAGUUGGAGAGAUGGCAUUGCAUUUUUGUGAGCGUUACAAGUAUGUGUAGACUCUAAUGUCUUCUUAUUUCAUUUAGAUGCUGCUUGUGAUAUUACUAAUAUAAGAACUUUUUUUUGGUAGGAUAAUGGUUUUGAAAAUCAGCUCAAAGUUUGAACUGAGGCGUUUCUGCCGCACAGCUGGGGCUGUUGCUCACGUAAGUGUUUCUCAUUCACAUUCUAUAUGAUUUAUGGUAAUUUUAAUUAAUACUUUAAUGAUUAUCGAACAGUUGAAACUAAGCCGGCCAAGUCCUGAUGAUUUGGGAUACGUUGAUUCCAUAGCAGUGGAGGAGAUUGGUGGUGUGACAGUAAGUAGUACUCCUUUUUUUAAAUCAGUUUCUUUCUUUCUUUCUUUCUUUUUGGUUAAUUUAUAUUUUACCUUUCAUUGACCAGUAUGCAUUGUGAUGUCUUUAGGUCACUAUUGCAAGAAAUGAGCAAGGUGGUAACUCAAUCUCCACGGUGGUUUUGCGUGGAAGCACAGAUAGUAUCUUGGACGACCUUGAAAGAGCUGUUGACGAUGGAGUUAAUACAUACAAGGUAAAUCUUUAUUCCAUGUCUAAAUUUCCAUUUUUCUAAAUAUUAUUUUGUAAUCUUCUUCUCAGGCCAUGUGCAGGGACAGCCGUAUCGUUCCCGGGGCUGCAGCUACCGAAAUAGAACUGGCUCAGAGGUUGAAAGAAUACGCCAAUGCAGAAACAGGGUUAACUUUCUUUUUACUUAAGCCUCUGAUUAUAUCAUUUGAAAUAUUAUUAUCAUUGUAAAAAACUUUGGUUUUAUUGUGUGACUGUUCAGGUUGCACAGUCAUGCUAUCUUAAAAUACGCAGAGAGCUUCCAGUUUGUACCCCAAACCCUUGCUGACAACGCUGGCCUCGAUGCGAUGGAGAUCAUUGCUUCUCUGUACACUGGACACGGGUCUGGAAACACAAAGCUAGGCAUUGACUUGGAGGAAGGUGCUUGUAAAGAUGUCUCAGAGACUAAAGUGUGGGAUCUUUUUGCAACCAAGUAAAGUUUCAUCAUCCAUUAGAAAGUAUAUUUUUUAUUACUGUUUCAUUUUCUCUGUGACUAAAGGGACAAAGUGUCUCUGUGCAGGUUGUUUGCUCUUAAGUACGCUUCUGAUGCUGCAUGCACGGUACUUCGCGUAGACCAGGUAUGCACAAAUCAACCAACCAGUCUCGCAUUGUAGUUGUAUCACUAGAUGUUGCUCCAGCACAUAAAUUAAAAGAAAGUGUUUCACUGAAUGCAAUAUCUUCCGAGGCUAACAUAUAAACAUAGUCUCCAUAAGUUGUUUGAUUGCAAACCAUUAGAUAUAACAUUCACUUUUGAUGUAGCGGAAGCCUUAUAAGAUAGAACUAGAGGUCCGUUGAUUCUUAGAAUACCCGGAAAACUAGGAUAAUCACAAAGAUCCUAUUUAGUCUAAGAAUGCCUAAGAUCAAUGUCUUCUUAAAUUCGUUGAGAACUCUCGAGUUCUAGCCGAAACAAGGAAAUAAAGGGUUUCAAACCUCUCUUUUAUAAAAUAUCAAUAUCAAUAAUCUGAAUACAACUCUAGGCAUAAACGUCUAUUUAUAUGAAAACCAAAUAAUCUUGAAACUAUUAAAAAUCCUUAAGAUAAUUAUAACUAAUUAAUAUAAAUACCAGAAUAAAUAAUAAUCUAGAUAAUUAAGAUAUCCAAAUAUCUCUCUCCAUCAUUCUCUCCGGGUUGGAAAGAUUCGUCCUCGAAUCUUAACGGUUGUUGGCAUUCAUCUUUUUUUUUCUUCUUUUUCCAUUGAUAAUAUUUUCCAAAUAGGAAAAUAAAAUUUUGUUCCACGUUACUAGACAAGAUAAUCAACAAGGAAGGGAACGAGUCUGUGUGCUGCUGCUCCUCAUGAUGUGUGAACGCAUGUAUUGGGUCACUUUUCUCCAAAUCCCAGCUGGCCCCAUGAUUUCCAAAAGGUGAACUGUGUAGCUCCAAGUUGACUUCCACGAGAAUCUUUUGGAGACUUUCAUCUCUCCAACUGCCUACGUCUUUGACCUCAAACUUAUUGCCUUCGUCUUGAAUCUUACCUUCAUCAUCAUAAACAUCGAAUAUUGGAUCACCAAUGAUUUCAAUGUAAACGACAACUUCACUUUCCAAGAACAAAGUCUCCAUAAUUCAGAAUCGAGUUUUGAUUAAGAAACCAAAACACCAGCUCUGAUACCACCUGAUGUAGCGGAAGCUACGAUAACACAAUGAAUCCUAUUUAGUCUAAGAAUGCCUAAGAUCAAUGUCUUCUUAAAUUCGUUGAGAACUCUCGAGUUCUAGCCGAAACAAGGAAAUAAAGGGUUUCAAACCUCUCUUUUAUAAAAUAUCAAUAUCAAUAAUCUGAAUACAACUCUAGGCAUAAACGUCUAUUUAUAUGAAAACCAAAUAAUCUUGAAACUAUUAAAAAUCCUUAAGAUAAUUAUAACUAAUUAAUAUAAAUACCAGAAUAAAUAAUAAUCUAGAUAAUUAAGAUAUCCAAAUAUCUCUCUCCAUCAUUACCUGAUGUAGCGUACAUCCUUAUCUUCUUAGGCUUUGGUUUUCUAGUUUCCUUUUUGUUAUAGAUAAACAUUAGAGUUGGGAUAAGGAAUAAGGCUUUAGGAUAGAAGGUUAGAUCCUAAUCCUACAAGGACUUAGGUCUUUCUCAUUAUUAUAUAUAGUGAUCUCUUGAUUUGUAAGAGACACAACUUUUGAAAUAUUGAUUAAUAAACUUAGAGCUUUGCAUUAUCAAACUCUUGAAUCCUUACUACCGGGCAUUCUGUGAGAAUUCAACGGCAUUAAGAAGGCUUAGUUAACGGGUAUUCUCAGAACUCAACGUUAUCUUCGCACUAUCGGUUACUAACGGAUACUUCCGCUCCGUCAGUUGGUAUCAGAGCUGCGUCUCUUUGGUUUUUCAAUCGAAGAACGAUUCUGGAUGUCAUGGUGAGUAUAAGCAUCUAUUCUAUCCUGGACGAAAGUCCUUUUGUUGUGAGAGAAGAGAACCAUGAGAUCUAUCGAGAGAUCUAUGGUGAUCCAAUCUAUGAUAUAUAUGAAGACGAUGUCCUUCAUAUUGACUUUAUUUUCAAAGAGGGUUCCAUUGAAAUUUCGCGUGCAAAGUUAGGGCAAAAUCGUAUUGGUGAAGAUUUUCUGCAGAUUCUUAAUUAUCUGUCAGGUGCAAAUUUUGUGCGAAAACGGAUUUGUGAAGAUUCAAGUUACAAACAGAUCAGUGCAAAAAUCGUGCAAAACAUGCUAUUGAAGAUUCGAGGAAGAGUUUUUCUUGGAAAACGUUUUGAAUUCGAAGACUACGAUCAAGAUUCGAGGACGAAUCUUUUCCAACCCGGAGAGAAUGAUGUAGAUAGAUAUUUAGAAUAAAUAUCUUAAUUAUUUAGUGUUUUAUUUAUUAUUUGGAUAAUUAUCUUUAAUAUUUUAGGGUUUUAUGAUUUCUUAUAUAUAGCCGUCUAGGCUUAAGUUUGUAUUCAGUUUAUGAUUUGAUUAAUAAAAAGUUAAGAGAUUUCUCUUUAUUCCUUGUUUUCGGCUAGAUCAUAGGUGAUCUCAACGAAUUUAAGAAGACAUUGAUCAUAGGCAUUCUUAGGCUUUCAUUGGUAUCAGAGACUUGUACUACGUUUCUUUGCGUGGUUACGAUCUAGGGUUCAAUGGCACCGCGACCAGGCAACGACUGGGCGCAAUUUCAACAGUUCUUGGAAGAUUUCCAAGAACACUUUCACGACAAUCUUCGCCGUACGAUGUCUGAGUCAAUACAGACUGGCGUACAAGCGGGGGUUGAGGCCGCUUUUGCCGCUCAGGCAGCAAACGCAGCACACGCAGCACCACGACAGCGUCAACACCGACGCAAUAACCCUGUUUUUGAGGGUCGCAACGACGACUCUGAUGAAGAGAAUCCAUUCGGCGAAGAAGACGACAUUCAGCAUCAGAAUCCUAACCGUGUUCAACGACCUAGGAACAAUGAGGAUAACCGCUGGACAGCGGGUAUCAAAGUUGAUAUCCCCGAGUUUCAUGGAGGCUCCCAACCAGAAGAAUUACUCGAUUGGUUUGUAGCAGUCGAUGAGUUCCUUGAAUUCAAAGUCGUACCAGAACACAAGCAAGUCCCCUACGCUACUACUCGAUUUCGUGGUCAUGCCGCUUCAUGGUGGAAUCAAUUAAAAGUCUCACGUAACCGCCGUGGAAAAGACAAGAUUGUUUCAUGGGAUAAACUAAAGAAACACAUGCGCAAAACAUUUAUUCCUUACAACUUUGAGCGCCUGCUGUUUCAAAAGUUUCACAAUAUUCGACAAGGUUCUCGUUCGGUAGAGGAAUAUUCGACUGAGUUUUAUCAACUCCUUACUCGCGUCGAUAUUCAAGACUCCGAAGAUCAACUGGUGGCACGCUACAUUGCAGGUUUACGGCAACAGCUACAAACCAUACUACACCAAUUCGAUCCUAGUUCAGUCGCAGAGGCCAGACAACGAGCCCUAUUAGUCGAACAACAGACACGGGCCACGACAAACAAUUGGUCAGGUAAUUCACGACAACGCAACAAUACAAACACCGAUGACACCAAAACUGCGUCCGGGGCAGAGGCAACCACUGGAACCCGUGGAAACAAUCGUCCCGGCGGAACCAACCGCAGCGGGCAUGGAUACACGACCACCAGCACGCACUAGUGCUCUACGGUGCUUUACUUGUGGAGAGACCGGACAUAGACAAACGGCCUGUCCCAAUGCUGGCCGUCGAGGGUUACUGGCAAACGAUAGGGACGUCAUCGGAGAGCCAAUUUAUGAUACGGAGGAUGGACAAUUUGAAGAUGGCGAUGAAGAAGAGUUGACAGGAGACACUGGUACUCUCUUAAUGAUGAGACGUAAUUGUUUCGCACCUAAAUCUAGUGAAGCAAUUCAACGAACAGCUCUCUUCAGCUCCACGUGCACCGUCAAGAGCAAGAUCUGUCGCUUUGUCAUCGACUCAGGUUGUUCGGCUAAUGUAGUGUCGGAAGAAGCUGUGCGGAAACUAGCUCUCACUCCAGAGAACCAUCUGCACCCGUACCGCCUUUCCUGGAUGCAGACCGGAGCAGACGUCAACAUAUCACAGCGAACACUAAUCACAUUUUCGAUCGGGUCCUUUUAUAAGGAUACGAUAUAUUGCGAUAUCGCCCCUAUGGACGUCGCACAUAUAAUUCUGGGUCGCCCAUGGCAAUACGAUAGAGAGGUGGUGCAUAACGGUAAACUCAAUACCAACUCGUUCGUGUUUCAAGGUCGAAAAAUCACGCUACUUCCGUCUCCGGAAACAGACCAAGCACUAUCCAACGACAAACCUCGCCAGGAUUCUAAACAAAAUCUUUUGAUCAUCUCCAAGGCACAAUUCGAAGAGGAGAUACGAUCGUGUGGCCCUAUAUAUGCGUUAGUCGCAACAGACGUGGGACCUUCUCCAUCGUCCAUGAUUCCUCCAGCAUUCUCGGAUCUUAUUAAAGAAUUCGAGGAUUUAUUCCCUGACGAACUUCCGGGCGGUUUGCCACCGUUAAGAGACAUUCAACACCACAUCGAUCUCGUCCCCAACGCAACAUUGCCAAAUCGAGCUCACUAUAGAAUGAGUCCGGCUGAACACGAAGAACUCAGGCGGCAGGUGGAAGAACUUCUACUUAAAGGUUAUGUGCGCGAGAGCCUCAGUCCAUGUGCCGUCCCGGCGCUCCUCAUUCCAAAGAAAGACAAAACAUGGCGCAUGUGUGUUGACAGUCGGGCAAUCAACAAAAUAACUACUCGUUAUCGGUUCCCAAUCCCACGUCUCGAUGAUCUUUUAGACCAAAUCGGUAAGGCAACAGUUUUUACAAAACUAGACCUCAAGAGUGGUUAUCAUCAAAUUCGGAUUCGACCUGGUGAUGAAUGGAAGACGGCAUUUAAAACGCGGGAAGGUCUAUUUGAGUGGCUUGUCAUGCCUUUCGGUUUGUCAAAUGCUCCUAGUACAUUUAUGCGUAUCAUGAAUCAAGCCCUCCGUCCGUUUAUUGGAAGGUUCGUAGUCGUCUACUUUGACGACAUCCUCAUAUUUAGUUCUACGCUGGACGAUCACAUACGUCACCUUCGAGACGUUUUGCUCGCGCUACGUCGCGAAAAACUGUAUGUUGCUCGGCAUAAGUGUGAAUUUGGUGUCUCCGAGGUCUUGUUUUUGGGCUACGUAGUGUCUGCAACCGGUCUUCGUGUCGACCCACAGAAGGUGUCUGCGGUUUCCUCUUGGCCGACGCCUACCACCGUUACAGAGGUCCGAAGCUUUCACGGGUUGGCUUCCUUUUACCGACGUUUUGUGCAUAACUUCAGCUCGAUCAUGUCACCAAUUACGGAUUGCAUGAAGCAAACGACCUUUGCAUGGACACCGGAAGCUUCCGGAGCAUUCACCACCAUCAAACACAAGUUAACGACAGCACCUGUUCUGGUUUUACCGGAUUUCGAUCUUCCCUUUGAGCUUCAUUGUGAUGCAAGUAAAUUGGGCAUUGGUGCGGUCCUAAGCCAGCAAGGCCGUCCGGUAGCUUAUUAUAGCGAAAAAAUGGCAGGAGCUCGUGCACGUUACAGCACUUACGACGUGGAGUUUUAUGCAAUAGUUCAGGCUAUUAAACAUUGGCGUCACUAUCUGGCUCAUAAAGAGUUCGUAUUGUUUACAGACCACGUUGCACUGAAGUACUUAGGGACACAAGAUAAAAUCUCGUCUCGCCAUGCUUCUUGGACAGCCUAUCUCCAGCAAUUCACGUUCGUCAUCAAGCAUCAAUCUGGCAAACUCAACAAAGUCGCAGAUGCACUCAGUCGUCGCCACGCUUUAGUGUCUACACUGCGGGUUUCGGUCACUGGCUUUGAACAAUUUGCUGAGCUGUAUCCAUCCGAUCCAUUCUUUUCUGCGAUAUGGUCAGAUCUUCAGCAUGGCGUCCGCUCAGAUUUUUCACUCGUGGACGGCUUCAUCUUUAAAGACAAUCGUCUUUGCGUCCCAGAGUGCAGUUGGCGUCUCCAAAUCAUCAAAGAGUUACACGAUGAGGGUCAUGUGGGUCGCGAUAGAACCCUUAAACUAGUGACUGACUCAUACUUCUGGCCAGCUGUGCGCCGUGAUGUGGAACGAUUUGUAACUCGUUGCACGACUUGUCAGAAAGGUAAGGGUCAUGCAUCCAACGCGGGCCUUUAUUUGCCCCUCCCAAUUCCAACUCAACCUUGGAGCGAUAUCAGCAUGGAUUUCGUCUUAGGACUUCCCAGAACGCAGCGCGGCAAUGAUUCCAUCUUUGUGGUCGUUGAUCGUUUCUCGAAAAUGGCACACUUUAUUCCGUGUAAAAAGACCACUGAUGCUGUGCAGGUUGCCCAACUAUUUUUUCGUGAGAUUUAUAGGUUGCAUGGUCUGCCUGUAUCGAUCGUGUCUGAUCGUGAUUCGCGGUUCAUUAGUCACUUCUGGCGGUCCUUGUGGAAACUAUUCAAAACCAGUUUGAAAAUGAGUUCUGCAUAUCAUCCUCAGACGGAUGGUCAAACUGAGGUCACAAAUCGAAGCUUGGGGAAUAUGUUACGUUGCUUGGUUGGCGACAAUCUCCGUUCGUGGGAUGCAGUUCUUUGCCAAGCAGAGUUCGCUCACAAUCAUGCCAACAAUCGCAGUCUCGGUUUCAGUCCCUUCAAAGUCAUUUACGGCGUUCUACCUCGCGCUCCAUUGUCUUUAGCAACCACGCCACAGCCGGGAGAGUUCCAUGGACGAGCGGUUGAGCUUGUGGACGAGUUGACUACUAUCCAUGCUCAGGCCCAAGAUAACUUGCAGGGCACGGCAAUUAAAUACAAGCGUGCCGCAGACAAGCAUAGGCGCGAAGUUCAUUUUCAAGUCGGGGAGUUUGUUUGGGCUGUUUUAACAAAAGAACGGUUUCCAGUGGGGCAGUAUAACAAGCUGAAGGCUCGCAAGAUUGGACCAGUGGAGAUCGUGGAGAAGAUGAACGCCAACGCCUACCGUUUGGCUUUACCCCCUCACGUGCAUACGGCUGACGUUUUUAAUGUCCGGCAUUUAUUCAAAUACGAACCUGAUGACAUUACUCUGGCAGGAUUCGUGGACGAAUCGUCCUUAGGGGGGGAGACCUGAUGUAGCGUACAUCCUUAUCUUCUUAGGCUUUGGUUUUCUAGUUUCCUUUUUGUUAUAGAUAAACAUUAGAGUUGGGAUAAGGAAUAAGGCUUUAGGAUAGAAGGUUAGAUCCUAAUCCUACAAGGACUUAGGUCUUUCUCAUUAUUAUAUAUAGUGAUCUCUUGAUUUGUAAGAGACACAACUUUUGAAAUAUUGAUUAAUAAACUUAGAGCUUUGCAUUAUCAAACUCUUGAAUCCUUACUACCGGGCAUUCUGUGAGAAUUCAACGGCAUUAAGAAGGCUUAGUUAACGGGUAUUCUCAGAACUCAACGUUAUCUUCGCACUAUCGGUUACUAACGGAUACUUCCGCUCCGUCAACUUUCAGUAAAGGCUACAUAUUAAUACUCUUGUCUGGUGUAUGUAAAAAUGUGCAGAUUAUAAUGGCUAAACAAGCAGGUGGACCAAGGAGAGACUUAGCAGCAGCCGCAGGUGCAGGCGCAGAUGAAGACUAAGCUGUAGAACAAAAGACAUACCCUCUUAGUUAAACUGUUUCUUCUGUAACCUUUCUUCGUUUUAAUUCUUGAAAUUUUUUGGUACUGGCUUAGUUUGAGAUUUUUGAUCUUGUGUACACUCACCUUUUGUAAUUUGGUUUUCUUUUUUUAUAUUAGUCAGUGUUAAGACUUUGAUACGUUUAUCCAAAUUGUAUCAGAUUUUAGAAGCAAUGUGACAAGCUUUUGAUUAAAAAAACAAACGAGUAUUUGAACAAGAUCCACCACACAGAUAACAGAAGAACACAAGAGAACGUACAAACUGAACCUAAGCUCUAAGUUCUAAGCUGCUUUAUGUUCAUCCCUUAGGCUUCAGGUAGGAACAAGGUCAGGAGGCAUCAUCAUAUCAUCAUUCAGAUGCACCCACAUAGCAAACCCUGCAACUGCAACAGAGAAGAAACUUAAUCCCCAUCUCAACACACGCUUGCUCCUGUCCCCUCUUGAGACUGUUUCAGUCUCUCCUGUCAUAACUUUGGCCUCAGAAUCCAAAUCUGACUUCGGUUUCUCACAGAUAUCUUCCGUUGGAGUACCAGUAGUAGUACCAGAGGUAUCAUAUAUUGAUGAUGACGAAUAGCUUUCACUGUACCGCUGCAUCUGCUGUCUGUUCUCCACUAGCUCAGUGAAUGGAUCUUGUGCAAAACCGUGCCUGUGAUGGUUUGAACACACGUCUCCUGAUGAUUGUCUCUUCCUUGGCUUUCCUCUUGAACUUCUUGAGCGAUUGGUCCAAGAGCACACUGAUUCGUGAAACUCAGAGCUUCUAUUCCUCUGAUGGAACAUAACCGACUCCAUGUCAUAAUCUUCAACGCCAGGAAACUGAAUCUGAAAAACCAAAGUAGCAGAUUAAUAAAACCUCUUUAAGAAAGAAUACACAAUGGAGAUAGUUCUUACUUGGCUUCCAUCUCUUGGACUCUGGACCACAGAACCGGUCUCUCGGUUAUAGUCAGCAUAAUACACCAAAGGAGAGCCUGAGACAACAGUUCUUCCACUGGCUACACCGUUAAACAAAACAUCUUCCUCUUCUUGUUCAUUAACAUAACUCCCACUAUGUGCUCUCAGCCUUGGUGUAGACUUGAUUGAUUCUGCAUUGAACUUUGGUUCUGCUGACUCUCCUAUCAAUCUUUCUGCUGUACUCAUGGUCUCAUAAGCCGCCACUCUCACAAAAUACAUCUCAUCUUUCAAGUGUUUCUCCAUCUCUUUGUAUAUAAGCUCCAGCUCAGAGCAAAUACUCUUCGGAUUCAAAUACUUCAUCAGAAAGUUAAGCAUCUGCACAGCCAAAAGCCGCUUCUGAGAAUCACCCUCAACAACACCUAACUCCAAAAUCCUCAGACCAGACUUCACCAACAGCCUCGCAUACGCCUCAACUAUAAAAGGAUUGUGCUUAGCCAGAGCUAUGACAAGCGCCAUAUGAGCCUUGGCCUCACUAGAAGUCGCUUCAAGAGCAACAGCCAAGCUCUGACAAACACUAUUCACCACUUCGCUAGAAGCAAACCGCCAGCUGUCGCAGUCCACAAGCGACUUCAAACAAAGAGCAGACCCCAAAGCGAGAUGCUGCUGGUGCUGCGUAUCCAAAAGAGACUCAGAGAGAGGCUUGCAGAGAGAAUGAAUCACGUUCCUCUUCUUGUCUUCCGGUGUUGCAGGAUCAACCCCGUAUCUAGCCAUAGCAGCCACCGCCUUUGAGCAAGCCUGUUGAACACCUAAGGAGCCCUCGCAGGAGCUUAACGUCCUUAUAAUAACCGGCAUGAUGGUGUCCACGUGUGGAGCGAGUUUUACUCCGUGAGAACGAGCAAGGUCUUCAAAGAGAGAAACCGUGUAGCCACCGGACUCGGAGCCAAUCUCUUUGGUCUCGGAAACUUGAGCGAGAAACACAUGUAUCACUUUUGGGUUCAAGUCUUUCACAAUGGUUCUCAAGUUGCUCAUUGCAGUCUUGUUAGUGUCUGGAUCUUUGUCGAGGUUAGCCAGCUCUUGUCUAAACGCUGAACCAAGGUUUCUCCCCAUUAUUGUUUCCUCCUGAAAACAAACGCCACAACGAAGUCAACAAGAAGCCAUCUUAUGUGACAUUGUCCUUAGAGAUGUGCAAUCAUUUGAAUAUAAGAUAAGAUCCGUUUACCCUAACAAUCAAUGAGUCUAAACCAUAUCCUUAUAGAGAAAACAAAAUCUCCAAUAAACCAAUAAUCAAUUCCCCAAAACAAAAAAAGUAAUCGACUUUCUUUGCUAAACCGAACAAAAUUAUCAUUUUACUGAUGAAUUUUGAAUUUCUGUUGAUGUUUGAGUAAACCCAUUACUUAAAUGUCGUAAAGGUUCAGUCUUUAUACUAUGAUAAGCAUCUUGAUCUGUGAACAUGAAUAUCAUCGAAAGGAAAUGAUACCGAUUCGUUGCGAUUAAUUCACGAAAAGGGUCUUCUGGGUUCGAAUCAGAAACGUGUAUAAAUGAAUAGAAGAAGAGAAUCAGUAACGCUAAUCGACAAGAAAUGGUAUGAACACAGUUGAUGAGUAACGAAGAACGAAGCGUACCAGUGUAUGAUUGAACCCCAGGAACUUCAAAGUCUUCAGAUUCCACAAGAGAGAAGGCUCUUUCUUCUCUUCUUAGUUCUUUACGAUGCGACGCGAAGAAAAAGGAUUCAACUUUUUUUUGAACGUUGAGAGUUUGGUGAGAUGGGCGGGUUUAUGGUAACUCUCCGUAAUUUUUGGGUCUUAACCAAAUUUACCCCUUUAUUUUUCUGUUUUUUUACUUAAAUGGUGCCAAUAUUUUCAAAUUAUUAGUCUACCGCCUAUGCGACUGGUUAAAAUGCAUUAACGUCAACUACUUAAAAAUGGUCUGAGAUUUUUAUUUAUUUAACAAAAAGGUGGUUAUUAGUAGGUUAAUCGAAAUGAUGUUGGUUAAUAUUGGAAGUAUAUGAGCCUGUUGUCUGUUGACACUAAUUAAUCUAAAAAUUGUGUUACAUUGUAGAUUUUAAUUCAAAUGUAAAGAUCAUGGGGAUUGAUAAAGCUAUGCAUUUGUUUAGGUGUUUUUGUAUAUUCAUGUGAAGUUGUGGGUUCUUAUAGUUAUUUUCUAAAAAGUAUGUUUUCACAAUUAUCUUUUUUUUUGGAAAAUAAAUCACGUUUUAAUUGGAUUUCCUACUUUAUGGGGGUAUUGUCCAGAUGAAUUUUCAAUAUUUCUAUGGAAAUGUUGGUCAAUUUGCAUUAAUUUCAUAAAUUAUUACAAUCAAAUGAUUUAUAUUUCCUUAGUUCAUUCCCUAUUUUUUGGUCCAAAUACAUUGUCUGGUUUAAUUAGGCAAUAAGAUUUUGACUAAGAUAAAUAAUUUCCAAAGCAAAAAAUUGGCAAAAUAUUAAAACUUGUUGGCAAAAAAGAAAUGGGAAAGGAAAAUAAAUGAAAAAACUUUAAACUUGUAACUAUUAAAGUUGAAUUAUAGUCUUGUAACUUUUAGUUUAAUAACUACAAUAGAAAUUCUAUAAGUUAAUACUCGAUAAAUUAAUAAACUCUAUAAAUUAAUAAAUUUAUCCGGUCUCAAGUUGGGUCCGGUGUAAAAUAUGACACUAUUCAAUAUUACAUAAGCUACGAUGUGAUUUGAGUCUAACUUGGUUGGUAUUUAUUUUCAAUACCCUUUAACGUGUAAUUCAUUUUCCAAAACAGAAAUGACCCAAAUUAUCCAAUGUAUAUUAUUUAUUUAGUCAUUUCAAUCUUAUUGUUAUUUUAAUAAAAGUUAGUAAAACAGUUUAGUGCUCUAUAUUAUUCAUGUCAUUAGCAUCCAAAAAAAAAAAUCUAUGGAUAGACAUUGCUUGAUGAAACACAAAUCACAGAAUCUAACAUGGUUGGGAAUAUCUAAAGUACAACACCUAAAAGUCUAAUAACAAUAAAGCAUCUUAUAUAAUUUUUAAAAAAUAUCGAAGUAGGAGGAAUAAUCAACGCAAACUCUUUGCCUUGUCUUGCUUAAGUUUUCAUCUGAGGUGCAUAGAGAAAUAAAAUCUGAAGCUAAGAGAGAUCGUUAAAAACUAGAUUACAAAGCUGAAAAACUUAGAAGAAAAAAUCAACCGUAAGUAGUUAUUGUGCCACAUAAUUACUUCGCUCUUUUAUAAGCAAGUAUCAACCACUAACUAGUAAUCAUAAUCAGUAUGUUUUAAUAAUCUCUCACGAGCUCCACUAAAUAAUCAUGUUAUAACUUUUAUAAUCUCCAUCAGUCUCCCCUCUGUAUAAAUACGCACACAAGUGGUUAGUUCUAGAUUAAUCAUGUUCAUUAGUUAAACAUAAAAGCCACUUAUCUCAGACAACUGGACAAGCCUUUUACUCAAAACAUAAAGCUCAUCACAGUCUUUUGACGAGUUGAAUUUUCAAUUUUUUUUUAAGUUAACCACAUUGACAAAAACAUGAUCUGUAAUUUGCAGAGAAUUAUGACUUUAUGAUGUGAAUGGAGUCUAACUUGGUUGGAAUAUAUUUCAAAUACUUUUUCAUGUGUAUGUGAAAGGUAGGGGUGGGCAUUUUACCCGAAAUCCGAAGUGGCACCCGAACCCGAUCCGAAAAACCCGAACCGAAAUCCGAACCGAAGUAGCAAAAUAUCCGAACGGGUAUUGAAUUAGGAGAGAUUGGAUAUCCGAACCCGAACGGGUAAUAUCCGAACCCGAAUGGAUAUCCGAAAAUAACCGAACAUAUGAUAAUUAACCUUAUAUUUAUAGUUUACAUCUUUCAUUUUAUAUAAAAUAUUUAUAUUGAUACUACACAUACUUUAAAUUCAUAUGAUAUACAUACAAUUACGUAGAAGAUGAUUUGCUAUUCGCUUAAAAUGCAUGUCAAACUUCUUAUUUCAGUAAUUAACAAAAAGUUACAUCCAAAAUUUAGAAACAAUGACCAAAUUAAUGUCUUUUUAAUUUGAAAAUGUUAUGUCCAAAUAUAUUAACCAUGCAAUCUAUUAAAAAUAAAAAAUAGUUAAGUGAAAAGUUAUAUAUUUAAAUACAAGAAAUUUGAAAAAUGAAAAUUUUCAUUUUUUUUUUUCAAAAUCUAAAUAUCCGAACCCGAUCCGAAAUAACCGAAACCGAACUUAAAAUACCCGAACCCGACCCGAAGUACAGAAAUACCCGAACGGGUUCUACACCUCUAUACCGAAAUACCCGAAAAUCCGAAAUACCCGAUCCGAACCCGAACGGGUACCCGAACGCCCACCCCUAUGUAUUUUUUUUUUUAAACGGAAUAAAAACCUAAAUUAUCCUAUUGAUCUACUCAUGUCUUCAGUAUUAUUAUCAUUAUCUUAAUGAAAGUUUAAACAAACAGUUGUAUGCUCUAUAUUAUUCUUGUCAUCAGUCAUCACCAUCCAAAUACAAAUCUAUGGAUAGACAUUGGUUGAUGAAAACACAAAUUACAGAAUAUAACAUGGCUGAGAAUAUCUAAAGUACAACACCUAAAAGUCUAAUAACAAUAAAGCAUCUUAUAUAAUUUUUUAAAAACAUCAAAGCAGGAGGAAUAAUCAACGCAAACUCUUUGUGUCCAGAAGUUUUGUUCAAAAAGCAUAAAUGAUAUUAAAUGCAGUGGAAAAGAAAAAAAGAAAGAUAACAACAUAUUCAUCACACACACCAGCCCAACUAAAACUUUUAUAUAAACAGUACCUCUCUUUCUUUCUUUCUCAACCAUUCAAACAAAGAAAAAAUGAGUCAACACAACAUCCUCGAAGCUCUUAACGUCCGGGUCGUGGGCACGGGCGAUCGGAUCCNNNNNNNNNNNNNNNNNNNNNNNNNNNNNNNNNNNNNNNNNNNNNNNNNNNNNNNNNNNNNNNNNNNNNNNNNNNNNNNNNNNNNNNNNNNNNNNNNNNNAUUUUUUCGGUAAAUGCUCUAUAUACUGAAGCCUAUGAUUUUUAGUGUUGUUUUAAAUUUCUAAACAUAUUCUACAUUUGUAAUUAAUGUAUAUUAAACUCUCUUUCAUGGUACAUGGGCAUCGUUUAAAUUUUUUGUCAAUUAAUUUGGUAAAACUUCAUAAUACUCCAUAAAUUGAUUGACUUAACCACUAUAAAAUCGUUAUUCUCUAGAAAAACGGAGACAACAAAGGUUCCAAACCUCUUUGACCUUCAUCCUAUGUUAGUGAAAGAUACAACUAUGCACGAAAAUAGAAUUUUCAUUUUUUUUGAAUUUUUCUCAAAAUCUAUGGGUUAACUAACCCCUACGAAAUAUUUAUUUUUUCGGUAAAUGCUCUACAUACUGAAGCCUAUGAUCUUUACUGUUGUUUUAAAAUUUCUAAACACAUUCUACAUUUGCAGUAAUGUAUAUUAAACUCUCUUUCAUGGUGCAUGGGUAUCGUUUAAAUUUUUUGCCAAUUAAUUUAGUAAAACUUCAUAAUACUCCCUAAAUUGGUUGACCAACCACUAUAAAAUCGCUAUUCUCUAGAAAAACAGAGACAACACAGGUUUCAAACCUCUUUGACCUUCAUCAUAUGUUAGUGAAGGAUGCAACUACGCAUUAAAAUAGAAUUUUAGUUUUUUUAAAUUUUUCUCAAAAUCUAUGGGUUAACCCCCUACGAAAUAUUUAAUUUUUUGGUAAAUGCUCUAUAUACUGAAGCCUAUGAUCUUUACUAUUGUUUUAAAAUUUCUAAACACAUUAUACAUUUGCAGUAAUGUAUAUUAAACUCUCUUUCAUAGUACAUGGGUAUCGUUUCAUUUUUUGUCAAUUAAUUUAGUAAAACUUCAUAAUACUCCCUAAAUUGGUUGACCAACCACUAUAAAAUCGCUAUUCUCUUGAAAAACGAAGAUAGCAAAUGUUUCAAACCUCUUUGACCUUUAUCAUAUAUUAGUGAAGGAUGCAAUUAUGCAUUAAAAUAGAAUUUUAAUUUUUUAAAAAUUUUCUCAAAAUCUAUGGGUUAACCCCUACGAAAUAUUUAAUUUUUCGGUAAAUGCUCUAUAUACUGAAGCCUAUGAUCCUUACUGUUGUUUUAAUAUUUCUAAACACUUUCUAUAUUUGUAUUCAUGUAUAUUAAACUCUCUUUCAUUGUACAUGGGUAUCGUUUAAAGUUUUUAUCAAUUAAUUUAGUAAAACUUCAUAAUACUCUCUAAAUUGGUUGACUAACCACUAUAAAAUCGCAAUUAUCUAAAAAAAGGAUACAACAAAGGUUCCAAACCUCUUUAACCUUCAUCAUAUGUUCGUGAAGGAUGAAACUAUGCAUUAAAAUAGAAUUUUCAGUUUUUUUAUUUUUUAUCAAAAUCUAUGGGUUAACCCUUACGAAAAAAACUUAUUUUUCGGUAAAUGCUCUAUAUACUGAAGCCUAUGAUUUUUAGUGUUGUUUUAAAAUUUCUAAACACAUUCUCCAUUUGCAGUAAUGUAUAUUAAACUCUCUUUCAUGGUACAUGGGUAUCGUUUAAGUUUUUUGUCAAUUUAUUUAGUAAAACUUCAUAAUACUCCCUAAAUUGGUUGACCAACCACUAUAAAAUCGCUAUUCUCUAGAAAAACAGAAACAACAAAUGUUUCAAACCUCUUUGACCUUUAUCAUAUAUUAGUGAAGGAUGCAAUUAUGCAUUAAAGUAGAAUUUUAAUUUUUUUUAAUUUUUUUCAAAAUCUAUGGGUUAACCCUACAAAAUAUUUAAUUUUUCGGUAAAUGCUCUAUACACUGAAGCCUAUGAUCUUUCCUGUUGUUUUAAAAUUUCUAAACAUUUUCUAUAUUUGUAUUCAUUUAUAUUAAACUCUCUUUCAUGAUACAUGGGCAUCGUUUAAAUUUUUUGUCAAUUAAUUUAGUAAAACUUCAUAAUACUCUCUAAAUUGGUUGACUAACCACUAUAAAAUCGCAAUUAUCUAAAAAAAGGAUACAACAAAGGUUCCAAACCUCUUUAACCUUCAUCAUAUGUUCAAGGUUUCAAACCUCUUUGACCUUCAUCAUAUGUUCGUGAAGGAUGAAACUAUGCAUUAAAAUAGAAUUUUCAGUUUUUUUUUUUAAUUUUUAUCAAAAUCUAUGGGCUAACCCUUACGAAAAAACUUAUUUUUUCGGUAAAUGAUCUAUAUACUGAAGCCUAUGAUAUUUAGUGUUGUUUUAAAAUUUCUAAACACAUUCUACAUUUGUAUUAAUGUAUAUUAAACUCUCUUUCAUGGUACAUGGGCAUCGUUUAAAUUUUUUGUCAAUUAAUUUGGUAAAACUUCAUAAUACUCCCUAAAUUAAUUGACUUAACCACUAUAAAAUCGCUAUUCUCUAGAAAACAAUUAAUUUAGUAAAACUUCAUAAUACUCCCUAAAUUGGUUGACCAACCACUAUAAAAUCGCUAUUCUCUAGAAAAACGGAGACAACAAAGGUUCUAAACCUCUUUGACCUUCAUCAUAUGUUAGUGAAAGAUACAACUAUGCAUUAAAAUAGAAUUUUCAUUUUUUUGAAUUUUUAUCAAAAUCUAUGGGCUAACCCUUACGAAAAAACUUAUUUUUUCGGUAAAUGCUCUAUAUACUGAAGCCUAUAAUUUUUAGUGUUGUUUUAAAAUUUCUAACACAUUCUACAUUUGUAUUAAUGUAUAUUAAACUCUCUUUCAUGGUACAUGGGUAUCAUUUAAAUGUUUUGCCAAUUAAUUUGGUAAAACUUCAUAAUACUCCCUAAAUUGGUUGACUUAACCACUAUAAAAUCACUAUUUUCUAGAACAACGGAGACAACACAGGUUUCAAACCUCUUUGACCUUCAUCAUAUGUUUGUGAGAGAUGCAACAAUGCAUUAAAAUAGAAUUUUCAUUUUUUUUUUAAUUUUUCUCAAAAUCUAUGGGUUAACCCCUAUGAAAUAUUUAAUUUUUCGGUAAAUGGUCUAUAUACUGAAGCCUAUGAUCUUUACUGUUGUUUGAAAAUUUCUAAACACAUUCUACAUUUGCAGUAAUGUAUAUUAAACUCUCUUUCAUGGUACAUGGGCAUCGUUUAAAUUUUUUGUCAAUUAAUUUGUUAAAACUUCAUAAUACUCCCUAAAUUAAUUGACUUAACCACUAUAAAAUCGCUAUUCUCUAGAAAAACGGAGACAACACAGGUUUCAAACCUCUUUGACCUUCAUAAUAUGUUAGUGAGAGAUGCAACUAUGCAUUAAAAUAGAAUUUUCAUUUUUUUUGAAUUUUUCUAAAAAUAUAUGGGUUAACUCCUACGAAACAUUUAAUUUUUCGAGAAAUGCUCUACAUACUGAAGCCUAUGGUCUAUACUGUUGUUUUAAUAUUUCUAAACACUUUCUAUAUUUGUAUUCAUUUAUAUUAAACUCUCUUUCAUGGUACAUGGGUAUCAUUUAAAUGUUUUGCCAAUUAAUUUGGUAAAACUUCAUAAUACUCCCUAAAUUGGUUGACGUAACCACUAUAAAAUCACUAUUUUCUAGAACAACGGAGACAACACAGGUUUCAAACCUCUUUGACCUUCAUCAUAUGUUCGUGAAGGAUGAAACUAUGCAUUAAAAUAGAAUUUUCAGCUUUUUAAUUUUUAUCAAAAUCUAUGGGCCCCUUACGAAAAAACUUAUUUUUUCGGUAAAUGCUCUAUAUACUGAAGCCUAUGAUUUUUAGUGUUGUUUUAAAAUAUGAAGCAUAUGAUCUUUAGUGUUGUUUUAAAAUUUGUAAACACAUUCUGCAUUUUUAUUAAUGUAUAUUUAACUCUAUUUCAUGGUACAUGUGCGUCGUUUAAGUUUUUUGUCAAUUAAUUUAGUAAAACUUCAUAAUACUUUCUAAAUUGGUUGACUAACCACUAUAAAAUCGCUAUUCUCUAGAAAAACAGAGACAACAAAGGUGCCAAACCUCUUUGACCUUCAUCAUAUGUUAGUGAGGGAUGCAAUUAUGCAUUAAAAUAGAAUUUUCAUUUUUUUAAUUUUUUCUCAAAAUCAAUGGGUUAACAACCCCUACAAAAAUAUUAAAUUUUUCGGUAAAUGCUCUAUAUACUGAAGCAUAUGAUCUUUAGUGUUGUUUUAAAAUUUCUAAACACAUUUUGCAUUUUUAUUAAUGUAUAGUAAACUAUAUUUCAUGGUGCAUGGGCGUCGUUUAAAGUUUUUGUCAAUUAAUUUAGUAAGACUUCAUCAUACUCCGUAAAUUGGUUGACUAACCACUAUAAAAUUGCUAUUCUCUAGAAAAACGGAGACAACAAAGGUUCCAAACCUCUUUGACCUUCAUCCUAUGUUAGUGAAAGAUACAACUAUGCAUGAAAAUAGAAUUUUCAUUUUUUUGAAUUUUUAUCAAAAUCUAUGGGUACCCAACGAAAAUAUUGAAUUUUUCGAUAAAUGCUCUAUAUACUGAAGCAUAUGAUCUUUAGUGUUGUUUUAAAAUUUGUAAACACAUUCUGCAUUUUUAUUAAUGUAUAUUUAACUCUAUUUUACGGUACAUGUGCGUCGUUUAAGUUUUUUGUCAAUUAAUUUAGUAAAACUUCAUAAUACUUUCUAAAUUGGUUGACUAACCACUAUAAAAUCGCUAUUCUCUAGAAAAACAGAGACAACAAAGGUGCCAAACCUCUUUGACCUUCAUCAUAUGUUAGUGAGGGAUGCAAUUAUGCAUUAAAAUAGAAUUUUCAUUUUUUUAAAUUUUUCUCAAAAUCAAUGGGUUAACAACCCCUACAAAAAUAUUAAAUUUUUCGGUAAAUGCUCUAUAUACUGAAGCAUAUGAUCUUUAGUGUUGUUUUAAAAUUUCUAAACACAUUUUGCAUUUUUAUUAAUGUAUAGUAAACUAUAUUUCAUGGUGCAUGGGCGUCGUUUAAAGUUUUUGUCAAUUAAUUUAGUAAGACUUCAUCAUACUCCGUAAAUUGGUUGACUAACCACUAUAAAAUUGCUAUUCUCUAGAAAAACGGAGACAACAAAGGUUCCAAACCUCUUUGACCUUCAUCAUAUGUUAGUGAAGGAUGCAACUAUGCAUUAAAAUAGAAUUUUAAUUUUUUUUUUAUUUUUCUCAAAAUCUAUGGGUUAACCCCUACUAAAUAUUUAAUUUUUUGGUAAAUGCUCUAUAUACUGAAGCCUAUGAUCUUUACUGUUGUUUUAAAAUUUCUAAACACGUUUAAAUUUGCAGUAAUGUAUAUUAAACUCUCUUUCAUGGUACAUGGGUAUCGUUUAAGUUUUUUGUCAAUUAAUUUAGUAAAACUUCAUAAUACUCCCUAAAUUGGUUGACCAACCACUAUAAAAUCGCUAUUCUCUAGAAAAACGGAAACAACAAAUGUUUCAAACCUCUUUGACCUUUAUCAUAUAUUAGUGAAGGAUGCAAUUAUGAAUUAAAGUAGAAUUUUAAUUUCUUAAAUUUUUCUCAAAAUCUAUGGGUUAACCCCCUACGAAAUAUUUAAUUUUUCGGUAAAUGCUCUAUACCCUGAAGCCUAUGAUCUUUACUGUUGUUUUAAUAUUUAUAAACACUUUCUAUAUUUGUAUUCAUGUAUAUUAAACUCUCUUUCAUGGUACAUGGGCAUCGUUUAAAUUCUUUAUAUACUGAAGCAUAUGAUCUUUAGUGUUGUUUUAAAAUUUCUAAACACAUUUUGCAUUUGUAUUAAUGUAUAUUAAACUCUAUUUUAUGGUACAUGUGCGUCGUUUAAAUUUUUUGUCAAUUAAUUUAGUAAAACUUCAUAAUACUCCCUAAAUUGGUUGACUAACCACUAUAAAAUCGCUAUUCUCUAGAAAAACGGAGACAACAAAGGUUCCAAACCUCUUUGACCUUCAUCAUAUGUUAGUGAGGGAUGCAACUAUGCAUUAAAAUAGAAUUUUCAUUUUUUUGAAUUUUUCUCAAAAUCUAUGGGUUAACCCCUACGAAAUAUUUAAUUUUUCGGUAAAUGCUCUAUACACUGAAGCCUAUGAUCUUUACUGUUGUUUUAAUAUUUAUAAACACUUUCUAUAUUUGUAUUCAUGUAUAUUAAACUCUCUUUCAUGGUACAUGGGCAUCGUUUAAAUUUUUUGUCAAUUAAUUUAGUAAAACUUCAUAAUACUCCCUAAAUUGGUUGACUAACCACUAUAAAAUCGCUAUUUUCUAGAAAAACGGUGACAACAAAGGUUCCAAACCUCUUUGACCUUCAUCAUAUGUUAGUGAGGGAUGCAACUAUGCAUUAAAAUAGAAUUUUCAUUUUUUUGAAUUUUUCUCAAAAUCUAUGGGUUAACCCCUACGAAAUAUUUAAUUUUUCGGUAAAUGCUCUAUACACUGAAGCCUAUGAUCUUUACUGUUGUUUUAAUAUUUAUAAACACUUUCUAUAUUUGUAUUCAUGUAUAUUAAACUCUCUUUCAUGAUACAUGGGCAUCGUUUAAAUUUUUUGUCAAUUAAUUUAGUAAAACUUCAUAAUACUCCCUAAAUUGGUUGACUAACCACUAUAAAAUCGCUAUUAUCUAGAAAAACGGAGACAACAAAGGUUCCAAACCUCUUUGACAUUCAUCAUAUGUUCUCGAAGGAUGCAACUAUGCAUUAAAAUAGAAUUUUCAAUUUUUUAAAUUUUUCUCAAAAUCUAUGGGUUCCCUACGAAUAUAUUGAAUUUUCAGGUAAAUUCUUUAUAUACUGAAGCAUAUGAUCUUUAGUGUUGUUUUAAAAUUUCUAAACACAUUUUGCAUUUGUAUUAAUGUAUAUUAAACUCUAUUUCAUGGUACAUGUGCCUCGUUUAAAUUUUUUUGUCAAUUAAUUUAGUAAAACUUCAUAAUACUCCCUAAAUUGGUUGACCAACCACUAUAAAAUCGCUAUUAUCUAGAAAAACGGAGACAACAAAUGUUUCAAACCUCUUUGACCUUUAUCAUAUAUUAGUGAAGGAUGCAAUUAUGCAUUAAAAUAGAAUUUUAAUUUUUUAAAAUUUUUCUCAAAAUCUAUGGGUUAACCUCUACGAAAUAUUUAAUUUUUCGGUAAAUGCUCUAUAUACUGAAGUCUAUGAUCUUUACUGUUGUUUUAAUAUUUCUAAACACUUUCUGUAUUUGUAUUCAUUUAUAUUAAACUCUCUUUGAUGGUACAUGGGCAUCGUUUAAAUUUUUUGUCAAUUAAUUUAGUAAAACUUCAUAAUACUCCCUAAAUUGGUUGACUAACCACUAUAAAAUCGCUAUUAUCUAGAAAAAAGGAGACAACAAAGGUUCCAAACCUUUUUAACCUUCAUCAUAUGUUCGUGAAGGAUGAAACUAUGCAUUAAAAUAGAAUUUUCAGUUUUUCUAAUUUUUAUCAAAAUCUCCCUUACGAAAAAACUUAUUUUUUCGGUAAAUACUCUAUAUACUGAAGCCUAUGAUUUUUAGUGUUGUUUUAAAAUUUCUAAACACAUUCUACAUUUGUAUUAAUGUAUAUUAAACUCUCUUACAUGGUACAUGGCAUCGUUUAAAUUUUUUGUCAAUUAAUUUGGUAAAACUUUAUAAUACUACCUAAAUUGGUUGACUUAACCACUAUAAAAUCACUAUUCUAUAGAACAACGGAGACAACAAAGGUUCCAAACCUCUUUGACCUUCAUCAUAUGUUAGUGAGAGAUGCAACUAUGCAUUAAAAUAGAAUUUUCAUUUUUUUUGAAUUUUUCUCAAAAUAUAUGGGUUAACUCCUACGAAAUAUUUAAUUUUUCGGUAAAUGCUCUAUAUACUGAAGCCUAUGAUUUUUAGUGUUGUUUUAAAAUUUCUAAACACAUUCUACAUUUGUAUUAAUGUAUAUUAAACUCUCUUACAUGGUACAUGGGCAUCAUUUAAAUUUUUUGUCAAUUAAUUUGGUAAAACUUCAUAAUACUACCUAAAUUGGUUGACUUAACCACUAUAAAAUCACUAUUCUCUAGAACAACGGAGACAACAAAGGUUCCAAACCUCUUUGACCUUCAUCAUAUGUUAGUGAGAGAUGCAACUAUGCAUUAAAAUAGAAUUUUCAUUUUUUUUGAAUGUUUUUCAAAAUAUAUGGGUUAACUCCUACGAAAUAUUUAAUUUUUCGGUAAAUGCUCUAUAUACUGAAGCCUAUGAUCUUUACUGUUGUUUUAAAAUUUCUAAACACAUUCUACAUUUGCAGUAAUGUAUAUUAAACUCUCUUUCAUGGUACAUGGGUAUCGUUUAAAUUUUUUAUCAAUUAAUUUAGUAAAACUUCAUAAUACUCUCUAAAUUGGUUGACCAACCACUAUAAAAUCGCUAUUCUCUAGAAAAACGGAGACAACAAAUGUUUCAAACCUCUUUGACCUUUAUUAUAUAUUAGUGAAGGAUGCAAUUAUGCAUUAAAAUAGAAUUUUAAUUUUUUAAAAUUUUUCUCAAAAUCUAUGGGUUAACAACCUCUACGAAAAAUUUAAUUUUUCGGUAAAUGCUCUAUAUACUGAAAUCUAUGAUCUUUACUGUUGUUUUAAUAUUUCUAAACACUUUCUGUAUUGUAUUAAUUUAUAUUAAACUCUCUUUGAUGGUACAUGGGCAUCGUUUAAAUUUUUUGUCAAUUAAUUUAGUAAAACUUCAUAAUACUCCCUAAAUUGGUUGACUAACCACUAUAAAAUCGCUAUUUUCUAGAAAAACGGUGACAACAAAGGUUCCAAACCUCUUUGACCUUCAUCAUAUGUUAGUGAGGGAUGCAACUAUGCAUUAAAAUAAAAUUUUCAUUUUUUUGAAAGCUUCAUCAUAUGUUCGUAAAGGAUGAAACUAUGCAUUAAAAUAGAAUUUUCAGUUUUUUUAAUUUUUAUCAAAAUCUAUGGGCUAACAACCCUUACGAAAAAACUUAUUUUUUCGGUAAAUGCUCUAUAUACUGAAGCCUAUGAUUUUUAGUGAUGUUUUAAAAUUUCUAAACACAUUCUACAUUUGUAUUAAUGUAUAUUAAACUCUCUUACAUGGUACAUGGGCAUCGUUUAAUUUUUUUGUUUAUUAAUUUGGUAAAACUUCAUAAUACUACCUAAAUUGGUUGACUUAACCACUAUAAAAUCACUAUUCUCUAGAACAACGGAGACAACAAAGGUUCCAAACCUCUUUGACCUUCAUCAUAUGUUAGUAAGAGAUGCAACUACGCAUUAAAAUAGAAUUUUCAUUUUUUUUGAAUUUUUCUCAAAAUAUAUGGGUUAACCCCUACAAAAUAUUUAAUUUUUCAGUAAAUGUUCUAUAUACUGAAGCCUAUGAUCUUUACUGUUGUUUUAAAAUUUCUAAACACAUUCUACAUUUGCAGUAAUGUAUAUUAAACUCUCUUUCAUGGUACAUGGGUAUCGUUUAAAUUUUUAGUCAAUUAAUUUAGUAAAACUUCAUAAUACUCCCUAAAUUGGUUGACCAACCACUAUAAAAUCGCUAUUCUCAAGAAAAACGGAGACAACAAAUGUUUCAAACCUCUUUGACAUUUAUCAUAUAUUAGUGGACGAUGCAAUUAUGCAUUAAAAUAGAAUUUUGAUUAUUUUAAAUUUUUCUCAAACUCUAUGGGUUAACCCCCACAAAAUAUUUAAUUUUUCAAGAAUUGCUCUAUAUACUGAAGCCUAUGAUCUUUACUGUUGUUUUAAUAUUUCUAAACACAUUAUACAUUUUUAUUCAUGUAUAUUAAACUCUCUUUCAUGGUACAUGGGCAUCGUUUAAAUUCUUUAUAUACUGAAGCAUAUGAUCUUUAGUGUUGUUUUAAAAUUUCUAAACACAUUUUGCAUUUGUAUUAAUGUAUAUUAAACUAUAUUUCAUGGUACAUGGGCGUCGUUUAAAGUUUUUGUCAAUUAAUUUAGUAAGACUUCAUCAUACUCCGUAAAUUGGUUGACUAACCACUAUAAAAUUGCUAUUCUCUAGAAAAACGGAGACAAAAUAAAACUUCAUAAUACUCUCUAAAUUGGUUGACCAACCACUAUAAAAUCGCUAUUCUCUAGAAAAACGGAAACAACAAAUUCUUCAAACUUCUUUGACCUUUAUCAUAUAUUAGUGAAGGAAGCAAUUAUGCAUUAAAAUAGAAUUUUAAUUUUUUUAAAAAUUUCUCAAAAUCUAUGGGUUAACCCCUACGAAAUAUUUAAUUUUUCAGUAAAUGCUCUAUAUACUGAAGCCUGUUAUCUUUACUGUUCUUUUAAUAUUUCUAAACACUUUCUAUAUUUGUAUUCAUUUAUAUUAAACUCUCUUUCAUGGUACAUGAGUAUCGUUUAAAUUUUUUGUCAAUUAAUUUAGUAAAACUUCAUAAUACUCCCUAAAUUGGUUGACUAACCACUAUAAAAUCGCUAUUAUCUAGAAAAACGGAGACAAAAGGUUUCAAACCUCUUUGGCCUUCAUCAUAUGUUCAGUGAAUGAUACAACUAUGCAUUAAAAUCGAAUUUUCAAUUUUUUAAAUUUUUCUCAAAAUCUAUGGGUUAACCCUACGAAAAUAUUGAAUUUUCAGGUAAAUGCUUUAUAUAUUGAAGCCUAUGAUCUUUACUGUUGUUUUAAUAUUUCUAAACACGUUCUAUAUUUGUAUUCAUUUAUAUUAAACUAUCUUUCAUGGUACAUGGGCAUCGUUUAAAUUUUUUGUCAAUUAAUUUAGUAAAACUUCAUAAUACUCCCUAAAUUGGUUGACUAACCACUAUAAAAUCGCUAUUUUCUAGAAAAACAGAGACAACAAAGGUGUCAAACCUCUUUGACCUUCAUCAUAUGUUAGUGAGGGAUGCAAUUAUGCAUUAAAAUAGAAUUUUAAUUUUUUAAAAUUUUUCUCAAAAUCUAUGGGUUAACAACCUCUACGAAAAAUUUAAUUUUUCGGUAAAUGCUCUAUAUACUGAAGCCUAUGAUCCUUACUGUUGUUUUAAUAUUUCUAAACACUUUCUAUAUUUGUAUUCAUGUAUAUUAAACUCUCUUUCAUGGUACAUGGGUAUCGUUUAAAUUUUUUGCCAAUUAAUUUAGUAAAACUUCAUAAUACUCCAUAAAUUGGUUGACCAACCACUAUAAAAUCGCUAUUUUCUAGAAAAACGGAGACAACACAGGUUUCAAACCUCUUUGACCUUCAUCAUAUGUUAGUGAAGGAUGCAACUAUGCAUUAAAAUAGAAUUUUAAUUUUUUUAAAUUUUUCUCAAAAUCUAUGGGUUAACCCCCCCUACGAAAUAUUUAAUUUUUUGGUAAAUGCUCUAUAUACUGAAGCCUAUGAUCUUUACUAUUGUUUUAAAAUUUCUAAACACACUCUAUAUUUGCAGUAAUGUAUAUUAAACUCUCUUUCAUAGUACAUGGGUAUUGUUUCAUUUUUUGUCAAUUAAUUUAGUAAAACUUCAUAAUACUCCCUAAAUUGUUUGACUAACCACUAUAAAAUCGCUAUUUUCUAGAAAAACGGUGACAAUAAAGGUUCCAAACCUCUUUGACCUUCAUCGUACGUUAGUGAGGGAUGCAACUAUGCAUUAAAAUAUAAUUUUCAUUUUUUUUGAAUUUUUCUCAAAAUCUAUGGGUUAACUAACUCCUACGAAAUAUUUAUUUUUUCGGUAAAUGCUCUAUAUACUGAAGCCUAUGAUCUUUACUGUUGUUUUAAAAUUUCUAAACACAUUCUACAUUUGCAGUAAUGUAUAUUAAACUCUCUAUCAUGGUACAUGGGUAUCGUUUAAAUUUUUUGCCAAUUAAUUUAGUAAAACUUCAUAAUACUCCAUAAAUUGGUUGACCAACCACUAUAAAAUCGCUAUUUUCUAGAAAAACGGAGACAACACAGGUUUCAAACCUCUUUGACCUUCAUCAUAUGUUAGUGAAGGAUGCAACUAUGCAUUAAAAUAGAAUUUUAAUUUUUUUAAAUUUUUCUCAAAAUCUAUGGGUUAACCCCCCCUACGAAAUAUUUAAUUUUUUGGUAAAUGCUCUAUAUACUGAAGCCUAUGAUCUUUACUAUUGUUUUAAAAUUUCUAAACACACUCUAUAUUUGCAGUAAUGUAUAUUAAACUCUCUUUCAUAGUACAUGGGUAUUGUUUCAUUUUUUGUCAAUUAAUUUAGUAAAACUACAUAAUACUCCCUAAAUUGGUUGACAAACCACUAUAAAAUCGCUAUUCUCUAGAAAAACGGAGAUAGCAAAUGUUUCAAACCUCUUUGACCUUUGUCAUAUAUUAGUGAAGGAUGCAAUUAUGCAUUAAAAUAGAAUUUUAAUUUUUUAAAAAUUUUCUCAAAAUCUAUGGGUUAACUCCUACGAAAUAUUUAAUUUUUCGGUAAAUGCUCUAUAUACUGAAGCCUAUGAUCCUUACUGUUGUUUUAAUAUUUCUAAACACUUUCUAUAUUUGUAUUCAUGUAUAUUAAACUCUCUUUCAUUGUACAUGGGUAUCGUUUAAAGUUUUUAUCAAUUAAUUUAGUAAAACUUCAUAAUCCUCUCUAAAUUGGUUGACUAACCACUAUAAAAUCGCUAUUAUCUAAAAAAACGGAUACAACAAAGGUUCCAAACCUCUUUAACCUUCAUCAUAUGUUCGUGAAGGAAGAAACUAUGCAUUAAAAUAGAAUUUUCAGUUUUUUUAAUUUUUAUCAAAAUCUAUGGGAUAACCCUUACGAAAAAACUUAUUUUUCGGUAAAUGCUCUAUAUAGUGAAGCCUAUGAUUUUUAGUGUUGUUUUAAAAUUUCAAAACACAUUCUACAUUUGCAGUAAUGUAUAUUAAACUCUCUUUCAUGGUACAUGGGUAUCGUUUAAAUUUUUUGCCAAUUAAUUUAGUAAAACUUCAUAAUACUCCCUAAAUUGGUUGACCAACCACUAUAAAAUCGCUAUUCUCUAGAAAAACGGAGACAACACAGGUUUCAAACCUCUUUGGUCUUCAUCAUAUGUUAGUGAAGGAUGCAACUAUGCAUUAAAAUAGAUAUGCAUUAAAAUAGAAUUUUAAUUUUUUUAAAUUUUUCUCAAAAUCUAUGGGUUAACAACCCCUACGAAAUAUUUAAUUUUUCGGUAAAUGCUCUAUAUACUGAAGCCUAUGAUCUUUACUGUUGUUUUAAAAUUUCUAAACACAUUCUACAUUUGUAGUAUUGUAUAUUAAACUCUCUUUCAUGGUACAUGGGUAUCGUUUAAUUUUUUUGUCAAUUAAUUUAGUAAAACUUCAUAAUACUCCCCAAAUUGGUUGACCAACCACUAUAAAAUCGCUAUUCUCUAGAAAAACGGAGACAACAAAUGUUUCAAACUUCUUUGACCUUUAUCAUAUAUUAGUGAAGGAUGCAAUUAUGCAUUAAAAUAGAAUUUUAAUUUUUUAAAAAAUUUCUCAAAAUCUAUGGGUUAACCCCUACGAAAUAUUUAAUUUUUCAGUAAAUGCUCUAUAUACUGAAGCAAAUUUUCAAAAUCUAUGGUUUAACCCCUACGAAAUAUUUAAUUUUUCGGUAAAUGCUCUACAUACUGAAGCCUAUGAUAUUUACUGUUGUUUUAAUAUUUCUAAACACUUUCUAUAUUUGUAUUCAUUUAUAUUAAACUCUCUUUCAUGGUACUUGGGCAUCGUUUAAAUUUUUUGUCAAUUAAUUUAGUAAAACUUCAUAAUACUCUCUAAAUUGGUUGACUAACCACUAUAAAAUCGCUAUUUUCUAGAAAAACAGAGACAACAAAGGUGUCAAACCUCUUUGACCUUCAUCAUAUGUUAGUGAGGGAUGCAAUUAUGCAUUAAAAUAGAAUUUUCAUUUUUUAAAUUUUUUCUCAAAAUCAAUGGGUUAACAACCCCUACAAAAAUAUUAAAUUUUUCGGUAAAUGCUCUAUAUACUGAAGCAUAAUUUUUAUCAAAAUCUAUGGGCCCCUUACGAAAAAACUUAUUUUUCGGUAAAUGCUCUAUAUACUGAAGCCUAUGAUUUUUAGUGUUGUUUUAAAAUUUCUAAACAUAUUCUACAUUUUUAUUAAUGUAUAUUAAACUCUCUUUCAUGGUACAUGGGCAUCGUUUAAAUGUUUUGUCAAUUAAUUUGGUAAAACUUCAUAAUACUCCCUAAAUUGAUUGACUUAACCACUAUAAAAUCGUUAUUCUCUAGAAAAACGGAGACAACAAAGGUUCCAAACCUCUUUGACCUUCAUCAUAUGUUAGUGAAAGAUACAACUAUGCAUGAAAAUAUAAUUUUCAUUUUUUUGAAUUUUUAUCAAAAUUUAUGGGUACCCUACGAAAAUAUUGAAUUUUUCGGUAAAUGCUCUAUAUACUGAAGCAUAUGAUCUUUAGUGUUGUUUUAAAAUUUGUAAACACAUUCUGCAUUUUUAUUAAUGUAUAUUUAACUCUAUUUCACGGUACAUGUGCGUCGUUUAAGUUUUUUGUCAAUUAAUUUAGUAAAACUUCAUAAUACUCCCUAAAUUGGUUGACUAACCACUAUAAAAUCGCUAUUUUCUAGAAAAACAGAGACAACAAAGGUGUCAAACCUCUUUGACCUUCAUCAUAUGUUAGUGAGGGAUGCAAUUAUGCAUUAAAAUAGAAUUUUCAUUUUUUAAAUUUUUUCUCAAAAUCAAUGGGUUAACAACCCCUACAAAAAUAUUAAAUUUUUCGGUAAAUGCUCUAUAUACUGAAGCAUAUGAUCUUUAGUGUUGUUUUAAAAUUUCUAAACACAUUUUGCAUUUUUAUUAAUGUAUAGUAAACUAUAUUUCAUGGUACAUGGGCGUCGUUUAAAGUUUUUGUCAAUUAAUUUAGUAAGACUUCAUCAUACUCCGUAAAUUGGUUGACUAACCACUAUAAAAUUGCUAUUCUCUAGAAAAACGGAGACAACAAAGGUUCCAAACCUCUUUGACCUUCAUCAUAAAAUCGCUAUUCUCUGGUUAGUCUACCAAUUUUAACCACUAAAAAAUCGCUAUUCUUUGGAUUUACUUUUUCGUUUUAUUCUUGGUUUCUUGUGAUGAUGGUUCAUGUUUUCUUAAUGGUUCAUAACAUUUCUAAGCCAGUGUGGGUUUUAGCUGAAUGUUUACACCUUUUAAACUCUUUUUCAUGAGCAAUUUUCUAAAUGUGUCUUUGAUGAUAAGUUCCAUAUCGGUCCUUGUCCACAUUACAACUAUAUGGUUAAUGAAUUUGGUUUGAGAGAUUUUGGAUAGAUACUAUAAAUCAUGCAAAUAUGGUAUAACUGCGAUUCUGGACCCAAACUAAAUGACUUAUGCAAGGUUGAAUCUGUAUAUAUAUAUUGUUUGGUAAAAGGUUAAAUAAUUAUGUCAAUUUUUAAUUUGUGACAGAAAUUACAAAGAUAAUUUAUAUCAUAGAGCGAAAAUUUAAACUAAACAUCAAACACUAAGAUGACAAUGAAACAAACAUGUAGUAAUAGCGGAACAAAGUCGAAAAAGGCAGCUAAGAAAUGUCUUCGGACCAACGAAUCUGUAUAUAUUUGUUGUAAAAAAAGAACAUGUACAAAGCGUGAAUUUUUUUUUUUUGCUUUGGAUUGAUCGGUAACAAGAUGCGAUGACGGUUGUUGGCUCAGAAAAAUGAGGAGCAAAGGCUUAAGUAAGAACAAGAUGCGAUGACGGUUGUUGUCAAGUCAUGGUCUGGUCCUCCUCCUGGAUGGGCUCAAAAAUGCAAUAUCGGCAUCUAUCGUGAUAAGAGUCAAAAAAGAAGUGGGGCGGCUUGGGUUUUGAGAAAUUAACAAGGCAAGGUCUUAAUACAUAGUCGUCGUGCCUUCUCGAACAUCCUAUCUAAAGAAGAAGCGAGUUUACAUGGUCUUAGAUGGGCUAUCGAGAGUAUGCACGAUCAUAAACUCAACAGACUUAUCUUUGCGCUGGAUGAUGACACUUUCACGAAGGUGAUUCUAAGACCCAAGGCGUGGUCAAACUUUAGAUGCCAGCAGUUGGAGCUUAUGGAAAAAUUAAGCAAAUUGGAGUGGUGGAAAUUGGUGAAAGAAGAUAGAGUAAUUAAUAAAGGAGCUUUCCUCAUUGCUCAAUGUGUGAUACAACUUGUUAUGCUUAAUCUUAUGCCGUUUUGGAUGGCAGGCUUCUUUGAGAAUGAGGAAAUUGAUCCCUCUAUUUAGUUGGAACUUUGAGUGGAUGGCUGUCAAGAUUUUUUUGGGAUGCAUCAAUGGUAGUUUGUGAUUGAUCUUGGAUAUGGCUUUAUUUUUUAGUGGAAGUUUUAGUAUGCUUGGCUGUUUUGAGCAUCUUAAUCUGGAUAUAUUUUGUUUAUGUCACUCUUCCUUUAUGUUUCAAGCUUUCAAAUUAAUCUAUCAGAUGACCAAAAAAAAGGAUUGAUUGGUAACAUUCCAAUUCCCAAAUGUAGAUUCAAGUAAGGUCUAUCAGCAUGCGUAUGGGUAAAUUUACAUCCGGAUCCGUGGCGCAAUGGUAGCGCGUCUGACUCCAGAUCAGAAGGUUGCGUGUUCGAUUCACGUCGGGUUCAAACUCCCCGAAACUAAUUCCGGAAUAUCUUUUUGCUAUGUGCCUAUGUCUAGUUUUGAGGUGACUGGUCUCAUCUCUGUUCCUCCUAUCUGUAGCCUCCAUAAAUCUUCCACUUCAGUUCCCUGAGCAUAACGAUGGACCGGUUUUGGGCUGAUUAAGGGCCUUUGGUACUCUCAUAGGCCCGUAUGUUUCUUAAACCCUUCAACUAGUUACGGAACCCCCUUGAUUAAUACGCAAAGGCCUUUUUUUCUUUACAAAGAACCACCGUGAUCAUCUGUUGACUUCUUAAUUUCAAAAAAAAAAAAAAUCUACUUAAUAAAUUCGAUAGAUUGAAAUACUAAUAAUUAUAUUAAAUUUCAAUCUCAUCCACUUGCAGUGAAAGAUAAUGUUAAAAAAAGUAAAUAUCUGGCUAAAAAAAUAAAAUAAAAUACAAACUUUCCUUUGCGCAAUGCAGAGAAAAUUAAAUGAAAAAAAUUUAGGAUCGGUUUGUAUUUAAAAUCCAACAUCAGAAAAAAAAAAAAAAAAAGAAAAAAAUAGACAAACAAACACAUCGGAGGAGACGAAUAGGCAUUUGUAAUAAAAAAAACAACAGAGUUCGGACAUUUUUUCGAUCUCUUGUUUUCCUGUCCAAAAGGUAGCAAAUUUGUGGGUUUCUCGGAUCUGGGAUUCUCCCCAAUUUGAUGUUUCUGAUUCUUCUUCUUCAGACAUUAAAUUAGGCUCUGUUCUUCGCCUUUUUUUGCUUAUAAUAAUCAUUCGGUUAGAAUUUUCCGACAAAAUAUUCCAAUUUUGCGACAAAAUAUUCCAACCUUGAAGUUUCCUUAUGGAUUUGCGGGUUCCGAUUCUCUUCUUCUUCUUGAGUACAAUAUACUUUCCUUCUGUCUUGGCUUCAUCUUCCCCUGUGGACUUUUCCGUCUGCAAUCACGAAUUCGAGCUCUUUCGCUUCGAUUUAGACUCCAAAUGUCCUCCUUCUCUCCAUCCAGCUCCUCCUCUCCAGGUACUACUACGAUUAAAAAUUGAGGCUUUGCUUUGAGACAAAAUGUUUAUUUGUUGUAGUAAGCAAAUUAUGAUGAUAGCAUAAUCAAAGUAGGUGUCUUUGGCUCUCCCAAGUGGGUAAAAAUUGGAUUUGAAGUUUUGUUUGUAACUAAUAGCUGUGUCUCAAUUGCCAGGUAGAUGGAGAGACACUUGACAGGUUAAUGGGUUUGAACUAUGAUGGGAAUGGUUAUAUGUCUGUUCUCUUUUAUGCUUCCUGGUGCCCUUUCUCACGUGUUGUGCGUCCUAAGUUUGAUAUGUUGAGUUCCAUGUUCCCUCAAAUACAGCACUUAGCUGUCGAGCAUUCUCAAGCACUCCCAUCGUAAGCCACCCUUCUCUUUCUUGAAACCACACUACAUACUCUCCUCCAUACUACUUAGUAUAGAUAAGGAAGUUGAUUAAGUGACUCACAUUGAGAAAAUGGUUAUUUAAUCUUAUAUUAUUAUUGCUUCUCAGGUUAUUCAUAAUUUUUGCAGCAUAUAGGAUCAGUAUGUUCACAAGAUUAUUAUGUUAAAUGAAUGUUAUAUGUGUUUCCUGUUACUUUAUCUUACAUUUUCAUUGCAUUUGAUUUAUAUCUGUUGAUUACAAAUCUAGGUUAGCUAAUUCACCAUUACUCUCUCUGACUUGUUUAAUUUUCUCAUUAGUGGGUUUUUAUGUCUUUAUAGGUUUCAUCAUGUUGUUUGGUCUUUUCAUUUGCCUUACUAACUGAUUUCACUAAUUAAUUUUGUUGCAGUGUCUUUUCAAGGUAUGGUAUCCACAGCUUACCUUCAAUCCUGAUUGUAAAUCAAACUUCAAAGGCACGUUACCAUGGUCAAAAGGAUCUUACAUCCCUCAUUGAGUUUUAUGAGGAAUCUACAGGUGAGAUUCAUCAGACCAAGUCUUUGCUUGUGCUAUCUUUUAUCUCAGUCAAUAAUAACUGAAUGAUUCUUUCGGUUUUGCCAGGUCUCAAGCCUGUACAGUACGUAGCCGAAGCUGAACCAACAACCAGCUUAGACGCUACCAACGGUAACCUGAUCACAUGGUUACGCAAAGGGACAUCUAUCAGUGAAAUAUUCAGACAAGAUCCGUUCUUGGUACUGUCUCUGCUGUACAUCUGUUUACAAAUGGCAAUCCUCGUCUUCCCCAUAGCAGAAUCUCGCAUGAAAGCGUUGUGGGCUUCUUACGUUUCCAAUCUAAACCUGGAAAGGUUUGGAGAGAUUAGUCAACUGUUCAGCCGUGCUCUCCACAUGGUCGAUGUGAGGAGGCUAUGGUUGAAACUUAGACUCGUCAAAACAAGGAACUUUCAUGAAAGAGCAAUGAACGCUCAAGCCUGGGCGUCAUCGCUUGCAUCUGUGUCUCUUGGCCAAACUUCAUCAGACCAAUCCUGAUCCCUUGAAGAGAUCCUUCUAGUAUUUAAGCGUGUUCUUGAAACCUGAGAGUUUCCCUUUACGUGGAAUGUUAUAUUGACUUUCUGAGUUAAUUUGUCUGCAUCAAAAGCAUGUAAAUCCAGGAACAGCUUUGCUUCUGCCUGUGAAUAUCUUUCUUUCUCUCUUUUUUUGUUUUGUUUAUGGAUCUGAGAUGUAUGUUUUGGCCUCAUUUCUUUUACUGAAUAAUUUUUGUUGAGUCAGCUAAAGUUUAUCUGAAUCUUCAGGGCAACUUUCUUUUGUAAUGUUUGUCAGAGUUCGGUUGGCUUCUCAAUAGACACAUGGUAUGGUAAGCCAUGAUCAUGUGCAAUGGAACAUUACUAUACAAAGGUGCAAUAUUAUCAACAGUAGGAUGAGAUGAAACACGUCAAAGACGAGUUAUUCCCAAAACUAUAGAACUCAAAAAUAAUAUAGUUUGAUCUAGGGAAAAUUGGAAAAAUGAGACACUUUGAACUUUUAUUUGUCACAAUAGGACUUCUGAUAUUUUAGGCAAUUCUGAACAUAUUUUACCCUUCUUUUAUGGGAAAAAUAGUAAACUGAAUUUUAAAAAUGUUAAAAAAUAUGAAAAUUAUUGGAAACAUAAGCAUGAAAAUAUAUAUGUUUAAAAGUUUUUUUUUUUUAAAAUUGGAAUCAUAUUUUAUUUUAUUUUCUAGCUACAGUUAGAAUACUCAUUCUGGUCAUCUACUUAGUCUAGAAAUCGGAUACUAAGUUUUAUACAUAGAUAUAUCUUGGGUAUACAACGUAAACAAACAUUUCUUGUAUAUUCUAACAAAUCUAUAAUUUGUUACGUUAUAAUCAAGAAAGAUGUCUUUAGUCUACCUACAACUUGAUAACAACAUAUAGCCACAACUCAACGAUAUACCUUGGCUAGAUUACGUGCUAUAACAUGUUCUGCCUUUUAUGUUAUAUGACGCCUAUAGGAAGAAUAUGUUUCUCAUCUACUCUAUUGUGUUCUGCGUAGGUAGUAUACAUAUUCUAGGUAAAUCCGUAAGAUAUGGAAACUUCCAUAUUCAGUUAAAGAUAUUUCCUAAAUCUAAACUAAAUUUACCCUAAAUUUCGCAAAUAAUAUUUUCUCACACGUUUUUCUCUCAAAGAACUUGCAGUGACUAAGACAUGCUUCAAUGAGAUCAAAAGAGAUAAAAGCAGCUAAAACCAAAAGUAUUUGAAGUUGAAAGAGUUGUCUUUUCGCCAUCUACUUUCCAAGUUGAUAAAGGAGCUAAAACUAAGAGUAUUUGAAGUACUCAAAUUCUAAGUGUAUUAUUUUUUUGUGUGUUUUCUGUCUUGGUAUCCUCUAAGUGAAAGAGUACAUUAAGGUUGAACCCUCUUAAUGACAAUAUCGAAUAUAAUGUUAUUUAGGGAUUUGUUUAGGGUUUACGGUUUGUUUAUAGUUUGUUUAAGGUUUAGGAAUUUGUUUAGGGUUUCUUUAGGGUUUGUUAAUGGUUUAUUGCAUACGACUAUGGGUUUGGGGGUUUGUUUAGGGUGUAGUGAUUCUGACCAAAAACUACAAAGAGUACUUAAAUAUUCUUUUGCAAAAACUAACAACAUACUUAAACAUUCUCGAGUCUGUUACAAAAACAUUCUUGAUCUGUCUCCCUUGAUAGAGACUGAGACGUUUGUAGCUCAUACUGUGAUUCUGAAUAUUCAUGAGAGACAGUACCACCUGGGGCUUCUUACUUUAACUCUGACUAGUCUGUGAGAGCCUCACCAAUUGUGAAGACCAAUAAUGGCUGAGACAGCAUCUAGAUAAAGAUGUACACAGUAAUUGAGACUCAAAGUCACAUUAGUGGAGGCUCUUGUUCCUUCUUCUUCCUGUCUCACAAUCCAUUAGUAAAGCUUCUCCUGUAAAACAAGAAGAAGAAGUCAAAUUCAUUGGAAAAAUUUAAAUGUCAAAAUCACAUGCAAAUGUGACGAAAACAAGAACGCUGAAACAUUCUGAAACGCAGCCACCAAAGGGGAAACUGUGGGAUACAUGAUUCGAGUUGUUCAUAUACCACUAAACAUAACUACAUUACACAGUUUAGAUAUCAAAGGACACAAUUUCGUAUCAAUGACUGCGUAGCUUCAAAGAUCAGAACAUAAGACCCUAAUGAAUGAAGUCGCUCCUAUUUCUAUCUAAUUUUUCAAAUAACUUAGCCUGAGUAACAACAAAAAUAAGCACUUUGAGAUCAAAAGGCCGGAACUUUGAAACAGUAAGACUGCUUAGAUUAUAUGCAAAGAACAUUGAAUAUAAUGCCUAACAUCUUCUAUGAUUAAUUACUUGGAAAAACAGAUUUUUCCAAAGAAACACAAGAACCAAGAUUAAAUAAAAUACCUCAACAUCUUCUAUGAUUCAUUACCUCUAAACUUCUUAUUGAUAACCAAUAAAGAGAAACAUAGAAGAAGAAACAGAGAAGAAGAUAGAGAGAAUAGAGACGACGAACACUUAAUCGUGUGAAGAAGAAGAAGAACUCAAAAUCGCCAUUGAAGAGGAAGAAGGAGAUCGGCGGAGAAGAAGAUAGGUUAACCCGAUGUCUUUACCUUUUUUUUUUUUUUAUCGUGUAUUUUAUAUAUCUUUUUCCUUACGUUUUUACCUUUUUAAAUAUUAAAUCAAUUAUUAUUAAUUCAUAUUAAUUGGUUAAUUUUAAGGGUAUAAUAGUAUUAACAGAAAUCUAAAUCCUAUUUUCCUAAAUAAUCUUCUGAAAAUCUUAUUGAGACAAACCUAAGUUGAGAAUGUCCUAUUUUUCCAAUUUUCCCUUUGAUCUAUGGGUAGUGUGUUCACAUCAAACUAUGUAAUUCAUCCAUUCUUUUAUUACUAGUGGCAUUAAGCACACAAGAUUCUUAGUAAUCCCCUUAUAGCCUUAUUACAAACAUGAUAUCAUCAGCAAAACUUAAACCUUAUCCAAAACUAAUUAACUUUCUAGCUAAGAUUUGAAAACAUACUGAUUUAACAAACUAUUAUUAAGAAAGUAACAAAUGGUUAUCAAAAUCAGUUGGAGAAGUAAGAAAGGGAAAAGAUAUGUUUUACUGUUAUUAACAGGAAAAUCUAGGAUAAAAACUAUUUGAUUGAUUGACUAGUAAUAAUAAUAUGAUGCACUAACUGAAAAUCCAGUGAUCCGAAGGAUAGUUUUGAGUUUAUCAAAACAUUAAAAUAGUGGAGAAGACUUGAUCAUGGAGGAAGGAUUAAAGGAGCUUGUCAAAGAAGGCAAAUCAAUAGCUCUUGAAACAGGUCCCAAGUGGACCACUUGUUGCUUUGUCAUCACUUCAUUGCGUUAGAUAAGUUCCAAUUCACUUUCGUCACCCACAUCUCCAAAAUAAUGCAUUCAAAAAUAAAUCCAUUUACAUCUCUUGUAUAAUAUAUGUAUGUCAACUUCAACUAAUAUCAACCCAUGUCUAUAUACAUGAUAUUUUUGUCCCAUAAUUAAGAGGUUACUGAUAAUACUAUCAUACGCGUUUUCAAGAAGCUUUUUCAAAGCAUUUUGUGUGUAUUUAUAAAACAUCCUAUAUACGUGUAACUUGGAAGAAAAAAAUUAAAGAAGAGUCUCAAAUCUUGAUUCAUUUUCUAGUGAACAUAUUUCUCAAUAAUUAAUAUUUUUAAUUAUGCAUCCAAAAUUCUCAAAUCUAUUAAAGGAUCUUGAAACCACUUCCACAAGGGAGAAAAUACCUAAGCCCACUUGGCUCCAAUAAUUCAAAAGAUCUCAUUUUCUCACAUUAAUGUCAAACAAAUAAAAUCUUCUCUUUCUCUCUAGAACUCCUGGAAACCCUGAUCAAAGCUCCAAUGACAUCAUCUCAAGGAGACAUGGAUCUUGAGGAGUGGGAGUUACUCCCAAAAAGCUAUUUAAAGGAUCUUGAUCAUGAUGAGGAUCAUCAAGAAGCCAUGAUACUGGAUUGCUUCCUCUCCCCAUCUACUCAAGAUCCUCUCCAUAAGAUAGAGUCUCCUCCAAUAUCCAGAGUUGUCCCCACAAAGCUCCUCCA
rnacentral:lncRNA from 1 species